AUAAAGAUGCCUUGCUUUGAGAUAGGCUACCUCAAUUCCCAAGAAAUACUUGAGUUGCCCAAGGUCUUUCAUCUCAAACUCUGCUGUAAUUCUCUUUGAGGAAAUGUCUCUCAAUCAAAUCAUUCUCUGUAACAAUAAUAUCAUCAACAUAAACAAGAGAAGUACAGUCAGUUUUCCUCCUUAUGAAUGUUUAAAAAAUAAAGUAUGGUCUCCUGACUUUGCUUAUAGCCCAAACACAUCAUUGCUUUGUGAAUCUUCCAAACCAUGCCCGAGGGGACUGCUUUAGCCCAUAUAAGGCUUUUCUUCAAUUUACACACUUGUUAGCUCCAUUGUUAUGCCAACACCUGGUGGAAUCUCCAUAUACACUUCUUCUCUAAGUCUCCAUGCAAGAACACAUUUUUAACAUCAACUGUUACAAUUCCCAUCACAUGAAGCAGAAGAGAUAGUAAAUUCGGAACAGUAUUCAUCUUGCACUGGGCAAAUGUCUCCUCAUAAUCAAUACCAUAUGUCUGAGUAUAACCUUUUGCCACUAGUCUUGCUUUAUUACCGAUCAAGUGUACCAUCAAUUUGUACUUUACAAUAUAGAUCCAUCUGCAUCCAACUGGACUUUUGUCUCUUUUCCUUUCAAUAAUCUCCAAGUACCAUUUUUUCAAGUGCUCUCAUUUCCUCAUCCAUAGCUUGGACCCAAUUUCUAUUUUGCAAUGCUUCUUCAACAGAUGAUGGAUUUUCACAGAAUCAACAACUGCAAUAAAACUUUGAUAUUGUGUGGAAAGAUGUUUAGUGGAGACAUAUGAGAGAUAGGGUGUCGAUAUAGGGAGGACAAGAUCUUUUAUCCUUCCUCAAAGAAUGGUAAAUCAACUGGAUUAGUGAACAAGUAUCAGAAAUGGCAUAUCACACUAGAGGAUCAUUUUCAGUACUUACCUCCGGUUCAGGCGAUUGAAUUGUUUCUGGAGAAGGUCAGGUUUACUUCUUCUCUGAUACACUAGAGUUGGGUCGGAGUGCUGAUUCCUGGAAAAUAGAAGGCCUUGAAGGACCAGGAACACUUACCGGCUCAGAUUCAGGUGUUGAACUAGGACUCAAACUCAAACUAGGUGACAACUCGGUGUCAAGAGAGGAACACUGAUAGGUGUUCUAGGGAGGCUAGGACCAAGGAUCAGAAACUGGACUCAGACUCUGACUCUGACUCUAAGUCACUUAUGUUCUCCCCCUGAGACUGAGCACGAGUGAAAAUAUGACACAUUUUCAUGAAAGGUGACAUCUUUGGAGACAAAGAAUUUUCGACUCGGAGGAUGAUAACAUUUGUACCCUCUUUUGUUGGGUGCAUAACCCAGAAAGAUACAUCUGACAGCACGGGGAUCCAAUUUGUUGCGAUAUUAUUUGUGAACAUGAACAAAAUCAACACAACCAAAAAUGCGAGACUCAAGAGUGUGUAAGAUAGGAACAGAUGGAAAACGUGAAAGCAUAAAUUGGGCAAGACUUUUAUUACCUAACACUCGAGAUGGGACCCGGUUAAUCAGAUAGGCAGUAGUAAGAAUUGCCUCACCCCAAUAAGAGGUAGGAACAGACAUUUGAAAAAGGAGAGAUCUAACAACUUCAAGUAAAUGACGAUUUUUUCUUUCUGCGACACCAUUUUGUUGUGGGGUGUCAACACAUGUGAAUUCAUGGAGAAUGCCAUGUUUACUAGUGAAGCUGGAAAAGGUAUGAUUGACAUAUUCUUUACCAUUGUCAGAACGAAUUCUUUUUAUGCCUUUCCCAAAUUGCGUUUGUACCAUAUUAUAAAAUUGGAUAAAUAUUUGUGGUACUUCGGAUUUAGUAUUAUGAUUGACAUAUUCUUUACCAUUGUCAGAACGAAUUCUUUUUAUGCCUUUCCCAAAUUGCGUUUGUACCAUAUUAUAAAAUUGGAUAAAUAUUUGUGGUACUUCGGAUUUAGUAUUCAUCAAGAAAAACCAAGUUACCCGAGUAUAAUCAUCAAUAAAUGAGACAAACCAUUUUGCACCAAAAAAUAUUAGAGGUAGGGGCAGGUCCCCAAACAUCAGAAUGAAUCAAAUCAAAAGGUUCAUCACUUUUAUUAAAACUGGAAGGAAAAGAUACACGAUUAUGUUUUGCCAACUGACAAACAUCACACUUAAAGACUCAACAGAAUGGUGUAAGAACAACGACGGAAACAUGGACUUAAUUAUAUAAAAUGGAGGAUGACCGAGACGCUUGUGCUGAAGCCAAAUUUGUGAGGCUGAAGAGGAAGACUGAGACUGGAAACAGGAGGACAACACCUUUAUAUGUUAGGUUAAGCAACUCAGUAGAUAGUUGUGCAAAGAUAUUUUGUUGUAGGAAUGUACGUCUGAAUUCAUAACAUUUCAAUUUACUUACUUUUAAUGAGUGAAAUUCUUGCCCAUUCUCUUGUAGGGGUCUCUCCUCCAGCAACGACGCCUCUCUCCUCUAACAUGGCAGCUAUCCUCUCAUCUGUGAAGCUUUCUCCCCCAUUGUGGGGUUUCCUCCUUUCAUUCCCAUUCCUCUGAAUCAUCCAUUUAUGAUGGAUCCUUGCCUUACUUUACCUCUAACCUCCAUCAUGUUUUCACUCCUCUCUUCUAACAACCAUCGAGUCCUUUCAAUAUUGAAAUCGUUUUCACCAACCAAUGGGCGAAAAUGGUAUAGAUAUGGAAAACGACAUCCUCCAAAACCUCCACCACCCGAAGAGCAGAAACACAUGAGUAUUUGCGUUUGUGCUUUUGUUAUAGAUAUUAUCUCUUUUUUUCUAUUUUUUUCAGUUGUGUGUGUUGUUCGUACAUUUAAUUUAUUUUAAGUUUGUUCACAAGGUGUUUGGUAAAAUGCCCCAGAGAAGCUUGGAUGAAGGAAACAUGUUUAUGAGGGAGAAUCUAACAAUGGUUGUUGCAAAUCAAAAUCUCUUUUCCACUUAAUAAAUGAUUCAUUCACAAAUGGUAAGUUUAAUAAAUCUUGAAGGCCUGUAUAAUCAAACUAUGCAAUCCAAAGCUAAAGAAAUGAUCUGUAACAUGAUAGAUUUAAAGAUCGUGGCUUUAAAAAUCACAUCUUAUUUGUGGGAGAAUUUUUCUUGGUUGUUUGGAUUAAGAAAUCAGAUUGGUAAUACUCUAUUGAUUUCUAACUUCUAUAUGUUUAUUGAAGUUCAGAUCUCUCUUGGCUUAGUUAUUAGUGUUUUUUUAGAACGUGGAUGAGAAAUUCUCUAACACAAAGUCUUUCACUAUGCUUUUUGAAUGGGGAGUGUUUAAUUGUGUUGGUUUGAAAAAUGACGUAAAAAAAUAUUUGACUAAAACAAAGUUUAAAAUGAAUUUGUAAAACAAAUAGUCAAUAAACAGCAAAUUAAGGAAAAUGAGAGUGAAAAGAAAGAAAUACAGUGAAAGUAAAUACAUGACUGAAAUGUAAAAGAGAAAUGGGAAAAAAUGCACCAUAUGUUUAUAGAGGUUCAACUUAACUACUUGUCAUACUCCUCUCCCGAAGAAUUUUUUCUUGAAAAUUUCCACUAUGAUGUGAGCUUUUUACAAGCUUUGUCCAUGAACUUUGGUCAAUCACGAUUGUUGAGCACCGUCAUCAAUGCAAACAACUUGUCAAACUUUGUCAUGUGUAUCAACCUCUGUUGAAUAAACACAAUCACACCAUCAAAAUUGAUUAAACACUAUCAGGAUCAUCACAUAUCAUCAUACUUAUCUUGUAUACUCAAAGUAUAUCAUUUCUUUGCAUAACUUUAUUAAAUUUGCAAUAAGCCCUUCAAAGCUAUAAAGUGUUCCUUGCAAAAUAAAUCAAGUUUUCACCUUUGGUAUCCAAAUUAUUUUGGAUCCUGGUGCAUUAGUCACUUUAAGAGGCAUGGAUGUAUUCCGUUUAGACCCUCUUAAUUUAGCAUAUAAUUUUUUUUCAAUAUUAUCAAGCUUGUUACAAAAAUUUCAUUUAAAGGCUAGACAAUUAGACUACUUACUAUCAUGAAAAAUAUUUUUAAAUGAUCUAUUAGGUUUAUAACCUAAGCCAUUUGUUUAGAAAAAAUUCAAUCAAUAUUACCUUUACCCUUAGUGAAUUUUUCUAAGGUUUCAUUAAAAUUUGUUACUACAUUUAUUUUAGAUAUUAUUAAUAUUCAUAUUUAUCUGAUUUUAAGGACUCACAUCAUGUACUAGUAAUUUCUUCACCAAAAAAUUCAUUGUUGUUUUAUAAGAGUUAAAUAUAAUCCUUAAGAUCAAUAAUGUCCUUCUCUAGUUUCUCAUUUUUUCUGACAAGUCUAGUACUAAAUUUAAAGAGUUAUUGGUAAGUUAAAGUAGUUAACUCAAUAUAAUCUCCUUUAUUGAAAUUUUGGUUCGUUCGCAUAACAGAUGCUAGACAAAAUGUUUGGGACAAUGUGUAUAACUUGUUUACAACAGAUUAAGAUUUCAUGGAGAAUGAAUCAUAAAGUAAUAAAGAACACAAAGGAUUGUUAUCCUAGUUAGGUGCAACGUCACCUACGUCUAGGGGGCUUCCAACCCAAUAAAGGAAAUCCAUUCUCAAUAGUAUUAGUAUAAUUAGUCUUAGAUGAACAAAUCUUGUUCAAUGUUUUUCUACCUAAUACUACCAGCGAAUUUGUAUUUAGGAAUCCCCAUAAAUAUGAGAAUUCCUCUAACUUUUUCUUAAUCACUAACCCUAGUGAUCAAUACAUGAAAUAUGUUUAAAGAAUGUCGAAUUGCAACUAAACUAACAAAAUAACCUUUAUGCCUUGAUAUGGAACUUAGGCGUUAUAGAGGUGCACAAUUAACAACAAGUACAAAAAAUAAAAUAUCACACCCUAACACACUAUAUUUUCAAUUAUUGGACACAUGUUCUUGUUAGGAAUGAGUCUUCUUAUAUAGAAAAAUAUCUGUUAGGCCUAGGCAUCUGAAUUGAAACAAAACAUAUUUGAUUUUGAUGCAAAUUUGAUUUUCUAUAUAUUAAUGUCCACCAAGAGAUUUUAUCUCAUUUAAAUUGAUUUGGUCUUGAACAAUCUUUUUAGCUAAUCUUCCUUAAAAAAACAUAUUUCUAAAAGAUACAACUCAUAAAUAACAAAUCUCCUUGGAAACGAUCAAACAUACACAGAGAUCUACUCACUUAAUCUGGCUUACAGACUGAGGCCAGAUGGUACACUCAAGCUCAAACAUCUUGUCCCACAUGAUGCCUCUUCACAUUUACAUCUUGUGUGACCAUGUAGUUUUACCUAAAGAAACCAAUAAAAGGAACACCAAUCUCCCCCUUUGGAAAAUUUUGGCUAAAAUAACUUUUUAAAAAAACUAUAAGAUGUGUAAGAGUAAAGCUUCAAAUAGCUCACAAUUUUGAGGAUACAAAAGCAGUACACCACAUAAUACACCAUAUCAGAGCAUACAGAGCAACAACAAAGAACAAAAUCAGAGAGAUUUUAUCAUAGAUCAUACGAGAUGGUUACUAAAAAUAGAAAUCAAAUAAAAAAAAACAUCACACACAUAUGAGAACAUAUUCACACAUCAUCACAACAUCACUACUCCCUAUUUAUUCCACAAUUUGGCAAAGGUUUGGAAAGAACUGAGCAUAACUAAGCCUUAAGCCAAGAUUAGAACAGAGAGCCAUAACUAGAAAAACUAGAAUCAUUGUCAUAGUUUGAAACUAGAGUCACAAUUAAAGGAUUAUUACAGAACCAGUAACACAAAAAAUAUAACAUGCUUAUAUACAAUGGAAAAAAACUAAAUCAAAACAGCAAUAAACAAAUUACAGUCAACAACAUCCAAUCCACAUAUCCAUCCAUAAGACCUCAGUCUUUAGAGCUAUACUCCUCUUCCUCACUUUUAUUUUCUUCUUCUUCCUCACUUUUAACUUCUUCCUCUUCCUUAGCUCUCAUCUCCUUGGUCAUCAUUGUAAUCAAAUUAUCCACAUUUUUUCUUCCUUGUGGUGUUUGUAGUAAUUUUUUUUGAACAAAUUUUGAAUCUUCCAUGAGCUUAAGUAACACAUCCUUUUUGGUAGAUUUGGAUAAUGGAGAAGAGUUCCCCACAGUAGAUUGAUCUUGGCCCUUUGUCACCACAAUGUCUGGAACAUAUGUUCCGACAAUAACUUAUAAUCAAAGGUCAGUGACACUGCCUUUUUGUUUUGAGCUUAUUCAAGAUGCACAACCCCAUGGUGUUGGUUCAAGAUAAUACCAUUUAACAAACAAGGGAAUGUUAUGGGUAUCUUCACAACAAAGGAAUCAACUUGCUUCAUAGUUUUCUUAAACACAUAUUUGGAAGAUAAGUUUGGCCAAAGCAAUGGUUAUACCUGAACUAUGAUUUAUAGGUUCCUAAUUUGUUGCACCAAUCCUAUUCAGAACAUCAUACUUUUCACAAACUUCCUUAUAACAUACACCUUUCUAUACUCCUUGCUUCCUUGAACAUUGCACUUAGUAGAGAUGUUAGCAAUAAAUUCCUUGACUAAAUUUUCAUAGCAAGGACCAAUGUUAGAGACAAUUCUCAUUAAACCAUCAUCUUUCACCAACUCAAUGAUUUCUUUACAUUCAAUAACUUCUUUAACUAUCUCUCUUUCAGCAUCCAUCUUUGAAUACAUAUUUCCACUUUUGAACACUUAUUUCAGAAUGGAAUAAGACAUUAUCCAUGGAAGCAGCGGGUAUAUUCACAAUAAUUCUCUUUUCAACAACCAUUCUUCUUAUAGUGUGUAUAAUGUCUAGGAAAUCUUCUACAACGCAGUAAAAACAGGUUCUUCUUCAGUUUUAGUAACAAACAUAACUAUACUAUUCACUAUAUUAACAAUAGGUUCUUCAUCAAUUUUAGUCUAUUCAUCCACUUCCACCACUUAUUUAUCCUUUUCUUUAGUAUCCAUGUCUUGAGACUUGGUUACAUUCUUAUUGAUUCUCUUUAUUAUGUUGGUAAUAGGAAUGUCAUCAUCCUUAUUAGCUUCCACAUUCUUUUCAUAUUGAACCUCAAACACUACAUUUUGUGGGUCCUCUCCCCUCAACUCUUCAGUAGAAUCAUCUUCUUCAUCCAAGGUAUCAUUCAAAUAGGUAUCAAAUUCAUGUAUAUCAAUAAUUGGUCUAGUAAUGGGUUAAGUAGGAGUUUUAACAGGGGGUUCACAAGAAGGUUUAACAUGUUGUUCCCUAAAUGUCUCAACAUUUGGUUCAACAUGGAAAUCAAUGGUGGUUUUAGCAGUUUCAACAAAAUUCUUAGUGGUAUUAGCUUCAUUUUCCACAUUGUCUUUAUUCACAUAAUCAACAUGCUUAUUAACAUGCACAAUAGUGUCUUUGUCAGAGGAACUUAACUUUUAAGAUGUCUUAUUCUUCUCGAAGUCAGUCUUCUUAGCUCUUGUCCUUGAUACAUCAACAAGCAUAACCAUAUGAAGAGGUACAACAUCGAGUACCACAUCUUGUUCAUAAAGUUUUCUACUUGACUAAUAAGCCUUAGAUGUCUUUGUUGUUGCUUUCUCCCUCAUCUUGACUCCAAGGAUUUUGACCCUAUAUGCAUUAGUAAUAGGUUUGGGUUCAAAGGUCUUAGUUUUUUCAGAUUUCCGGCUCAUUUUCCCUACAAGUUUGAAGGACUUGAGAGAAGGGUAGAUGGAAAUUGUUGUUAGAAUAAUAGAUAGAGGGAUUGAUCUUCAUGCAUGUAAAAGUGGAAUAGUUAUACGUAUAAUUUGAAAUAGGAAGGGUGUGCUUUAUUUCUCAUGCAAUAUGAUCAUAUGAGAGAGAAAAUUUCCUUUAAUUCUUACACGCCUUGCAUUAAUUUCUAUACAUUUUCACACAUGCAAAUACCAAGAGCACCCUUUAGCUUUUCAAACUGAAAAACAUCGAAAGCUUUGUGAAUAUGUCUCCAAGUUGCUUUUUAAUUUCUACAUGCUUAAGGUUUACAAUUUAUCAUUCAUAAGUUCCCUGAUGAAAUGAUGAUGAAUGUCAAUGCGCUUGGUUCGACUGUGUUGAACAUGAUUAUUUGAAAUAUUAAUAACACUUAAAUUGUUGCAGUAUAAUGUCACAACAUCUUGUUCAAUAUUGUAUCCUUCAACAUCUAUUUCAUCCAUAACAAUUGGGUUCAUUUGCUUCCUGCAACAAUGUACUCAACUUUUGUAGUAUAAAGAGAGACAUAAUUUUUCUUCUUGUUCAACCAUGAGAUUAAGUGGUUUCCAAGAAAGAAGCAUCCACCAUAUUUUGUUUUUCAAUCAUCAGCACUUCCAACCCAAUUAGUAUUACAAUACCCUAAUAUUAUUGAGUUAGUAUCAUGAGAAUAAAGAAUACCAUAGUCACAAGUCCCAUUUAUGUAUUUCAUGAUUCUCAUCACUUAAAUGAAAUGACUAACCAUGGGUUUAACUUGUUAUCUAGCACAAACAUCUACAGAAAAUGUGAUGUCAGGUCUACUUGUUGUGAGAUAUAACAUACCACCAAUCAUGCUUAUGUAUAGGCUUUGAUCAAUAUCAAUACCAUUAUCAUCUCUGGAUAAUUUCACAUGUGUUGUAGCAUGGAUUCUCUUAUGAAUUUCCCUUUCAAGGCUAAACUUCUUUAUUAUACUCUUUGUAUACCUGCUUUGAGAAAUAAGGAUGUUAUAUUCCAUUUUAUUUAUUUGUAGACCAAGAAACUAGGUGAGUUCUCCUACAAGACGUGUCUUAAACUCAGAUGGCACUUGAUGAACAAAAUGUUCCACCAUCUUGUCUUACAUUCCACCAAAGAUAAUGUCGUCAAGAUAAAUCUGAGCUAUCAUGAGCUUUCCUUAUUCAUUAUUUACAAAGAGAGUUUUAUCUAUUCCAUAUCUAUUGUAUCCGUUAUUAAUCAGGAAUCUAGUUAAUCUUUCAUACCAAGCUCUUCGAUCUUGCUUUAAUCCAUAAAGAGAUUUCUUCAACUUGUACACAUGAUUUAGAAAGUUAGGAUCAAUAAAUCCCUUUGGUUGCUCUACAUGAACUUCCUCAUUAAGAUACCCAUUUAAGAAUACACUUUUAACAUCCAUUUGGUAUAAUCUGAAUUUAAACAUGCGGGAGACUCUUAGUAAUAAUCUAAUAGACUCAAGGUGAGCAACUGGAGAAAAUGUCUCAUCAAAAUCCACUCCUUAUAUUUGUGUGUACCCUUGAGCCACUAAAUAAGCCUUGUUCCUUGUUACAUUACCAUUUUCAUCAUAUUUAUUCUUGUAAUUCCAUUUGGUACCAAUGAUAUUCACAUCUUCAGGCCUUGGAACUAAUUCCCAAAUUUUGUUUAUUUUGAAUUGACACAGUUCCCUUUACAUAGAAUUUAUCCAGAUUCAUCAGUCAAAGCUUCCUUGAUGUUCUUUGGUUCAAUCUUUAAACUGAAAGAUGAGUUGACAAUCAUAUCUCUAGAUCUGGCGAUAACUCCUUCAUUCAUAUUCCCUAUGAUAUUUUCUUUAGGGUGAUAUUUAUGAAUUCUAGUUGAUGGUCCCUUGUUAGUUUGAGGGUUUUGAGAAUUUAUGCUUCCAGAUUGUAUGUUAGACUCCUUAUGUAGGACAUCUGCUGAGACACGUAUCUGUUGAAAGAAUACAUCAUCUUCAUCUUCAACUUAUUUCUUAUCUUUAAGAUUAUCAUCAAUGAAAACAAUAUUGAUUCCAUCAUUGUCUUGGUACGAGUGUCAUAUACCAUGUAAGCUCUGUUGUUGUUGGAGUAGCCUAGGAAUAUUCCUCCAUCACUCUUGGGAUCCAACUUUCUUCUUUGCUCAUGAUCAGCCAAGAUGUAGAACUUUCUACCAAAUACAUGAAAGUGUUUGACAUUUUGCUUUCUCCCUUUCCAAAGCUCAUAAUGAGUUUCUUUUGUUCCAUAUCUUAUGGUCACGUGAAUGUGAGUGUGAUAGGUUGUGUUCAUGGCUUCACCCCAAAAAUAGUAAGGAAGAUUAUUGGCAUGCAACAUGACUCUAGAUGAAUCUUGCAAGUGUAAGACCCCAAUUUUGAUCCUAAUAUCCCUCAUGCUAUCUUAUCAUAUGCAUGGAAUUGGGAGCACAUCUUGGCAUCCUCCUAACCCCUCAUUCAUUAGGUUUGUAUUGGGAGAGAUAACCAAGCACCAUAUGAUUGUAUCAUACUUUGUAUUUUAUCAUUUUUACUAACUAAAAUACCAAAAAUAUGUCUUUGCAUUUGUCUAACUCUUUUGUAGGUAGGGCACUUGAUCCCCUUUGAUCUAUCAAGUUCACAUCUAGGGUUAAAGACAUUCAAUGCUAAGAGCUCAACCAAGAAAUGAUACACAAUGUCUCUAGGAAUAAUAUAUGAGUCCCCAUGAUCUUUUCAUGUUAUUUUGAUCAAGAAUUCUUCAAGAGUUUGGAUUUUGUUUGCCUUGGAAACCCUAGUUCAUCUAAGUAUCUUGAGUAACUUCUUCAACAAGCUUCUUCACCAAUUGAUCAAAAAUUUCAAGGGAAACUUAAAAUUUCAUGAUAUUAUGCAUAUAUGAUCUCCCAUUAUCCCUAAAAGUCAAGAUAAUUUCAAGUUUGCAAGGAGGUUGAUGGUAGUUGACCAGAGAAAUACAUCUAAUCAAAACUGGGGUCCUUAGACCCUAUCUCCUACAAUUUUCAUCCUAUGAAAAUGAUUCCAAGAUAAACGUUACUCUAAAUGACAUUUCAAACAACUUUCAUGUUGAGGUCUAGAGCUAAUUUUGCUUGGAAAGUCAUUGUUUAUGUUGAAAGAUUAUAUGUCAUUUUGUCAAAACCCUAAUUUAGAGGUCAACUUCCCAAGGCCAUAACUUGCUCAUUUUUUAUGAUAUGAAAUAUUUCCAAGUUUAAAAAUCAAAUUCAGGGUGUCUACUUAAACUUUUAUGUUUGGAGGAAUAGAUAAUUCAACUUUCAUGAGCAUGUGAUAUGAGGAUACAUUAUAGGUCAUUUUGGACCAAUACCAUUGAACAAGUGAUUUUCCUCAACUUCAAAAAUGCAUAACUCAUUCAUCCCAAAUCUAAAUAAGGUCAAAUUUGUGACCAUUUUGAAGGUUUUUGAAAUAGCUACAACUUUGAUGAAUACACUUUUUCAUUUGAAGCACGCAUUAAAAGUUAGCCAAGGUGGAAUAAGUGAGCAUAUGGCUUAACACUUAGAAAAUUUUUUAACAUGUUGAAAUUUCAACUUCCACCUCAAAAUUCAUCAUGAUACAAGCUUCAAAUGAAAAAGUGUUCAACAUAAGAGUUAUUAUUGUUGGUCUCACCUUUCCAAAGAGUGCAAAUUCAUCCAUUUUGGACAAGGUUUGAGUGGUAUGCGCAUGGCUUGAACAUGGCAUCAUCAUUUGGCAAGGAUCAACGUCAAACAGCUGCACACUUUUGCCUUGCAUUCCAAUCCACUUUCAGACCCAAUUACAUGUGAUUAUGGACUUAAUUGAGUAGCUUCAUGGGCUUGUACACGCCCAUGCAAGCAUGUAUCACUGAAUUGAAAAAUUUGGAAACAACUUUGAAGGUGCAAAUAUCACUUUCUUCAGCUAUAAAUAAGAGUCCAUUACAUCAGAAUUAGGGACCCCUUGCGCGCUAGCUUUGCCUCCACACUUUAAACCCUCACAAUUGAAAGGAAAACUUGAGAACUUUAUUUUGAAAAUUGAGUUUGAAUCUCACUGUUUGGAGAUUCAAAACUCUAGGGAUCCAAAGCUUUGUUUCAAUCCUAAGCCACUCCAGCAAGCUUUCUGAGGGAGAUCAAGCAAGAAUUUAAGCAAGAGAGAUCGAGUUCUGCACAACAUUGAAGGUAUUUUCCAGAUUUUUUCUUCUCUUUGAUUCUCUCUCAAUUCUCAUCAAUUCUAUUGAAUCCUUGGUUGUCUGAAGUCCUACCAAUGUAGGCAAGAAGAUUGAGUUUCUUUGAGACCAAAUAGAAGCAACUCAGUUCAUGUACCUCAAAUUUCAACUCCAUGUAUCUCUCAAUAUACUUAGAGUUAGGAUGAAUUGAGGCCAGAUUCGUGAUCAGUUCCAUUUUUACUUUAAAAUCAUGUCCUUCUUUUUCAUUUUUGUGAUGGUGAUGAGAGAACCAAUCUGGCCAAGGUCGUCUGAGAAGACGACCGACGCUUUGCUCCGGUGAUGAGCUGGAUAGGUUCUGAGCCAUAGGAUCAAGCCAUUUUGUUUUAAUCACGAGCGUUCCUUUUGAAUACCAUUGGUGUGGCGCGCCGUAUCGAGUGUAUGAUGGAACGCAUGUUUUGGUCCACUUGAUUUGCCACCUCAAUUAAUGAGGGAGAUCAAGUGGUCCACGUUUUUUCUGAUUAAUUGAUUUUCAUUUUAUUUGUUUUAUUUUCAUUAAUUCAUAUUAAAUUUAAUAUUUAUCCAAAAAAUAUGAGAGUUUCACCAAAAAACUUUAAAUAAAAUCCUCUUUCAUUUUCUGAAUUAAAAUUAUUUUUUGGAUUAUUAUUAAUAUUUUUCAUGAUUUAAUUGAUUUUGUGAAUAUUUUUAAUUGGUUAAAUUUACUUUUAAGUUUCCAAAAAUUAUGAAAAAAUUUCUCCAAGGUCCUUUAACCUUGUUUGACCUAUGAUAAAUCUCAUGGUCAUUUCUUUGGUGUUUUGAUGAGGUUUUAGGAAAUUGACCAACCAUGACUUAAUUUAAUGUAUAUUUUUAUUAUUUUUAAUUGCUUAAACACCAAAUAAAUUAUGUAUAGCCAUUUUAAUUGAUUUUGUUAGUUUGACUUGUGUUGUUAGGCCUUGUCAAGGUUGAUUUAACUUUGCUAGGUUAUGAUCAUUGGAUUUAGGGGAUUGAUGGAAUGUACAUUCCAUCUCCCAAAAUGAAUGAAUGAUCUUAAUUUGGUAAAAGUCCUCCUUUGACCAAUUUGUGUUUAAUCCACCCACCCCCCCUCUUCAUCUCAUUCCCCUUCUUUAUCCAUUCAUGUCAUGGACCUAUGAUAUCUCUAUAUCCAAAGGCUAGUUGAUUGCAAAAUCAACAUAAGUAUGGAUGAGAUUAGAUCCCCCAUUUUGCAUAUUCUUUUUGUGUGUGGCAUGCUUCAUGAGCAUAGUUUAUCAAACUAUGUCUCUAACAUGUAUUAGCACCAAAAUUCUAUUGCCCGACCUCAAAUAGUUAUAACUUCUACAUAAGUCUAAUUACGAUUGCUUAACAUAGCGCUAAAUUUAUGACACAAAAGGCAUAACAUUCUAGUUAGUGAUAUUGUAAGUCUCCCCUCUUUCAUGUUAUUGUGUGGAAACUUGGUCUUUUUUCCUUCCUUUGGAAGAAGUCUUGUUUCGAGGAUCCAUGCUUGUGAUAAGUUGGUUGAGUGUUAUCCAAAGAAUGACUUAAACAAAAACAAAGCAAAAGCAAUACUAACUUCUAAUUAACUAACAACUAACAUUUAAUUUCAAGUCAUUUUUUUAAUGCACCUUAUUUUUUAAGCUUUAUUCAUUUGCCAUUAUUCUUACCAUUCAAGUUGUUUACUUUAAUGUCAUUUUCCCUUUGUCCACUUGGACCAUAUUUUGUGAUAUAUUGUGUUUGUAUAUACUUGUGUGUUUGUGUGGUCUUUUGACCUUAAUGUACAUAAUAAGAGCAAAAACCCUAAAAAACAAUUUGUGUGGACUGUUGGUUUGAUCUGAGACUAUUGGACUUAGAAUUUAGGCAACACUCCCUAUGCAAAGGACUCGGCCAAUGCCAACUUUCAUGAAACCAAGUACUUAUGAAGUGAACUUUCAUCUCAUACAAAAUUGAAGAUCCAUUUGAGUUCAUAUACAACAUGAUCAUUGUGAAGUUGUUAUCUUGAACUUAUGUCUAAUGCCAUCUUUUGAAGUCAUCUGAUAUAUGGGCAAUUUGUGAAGAAGAUCAUGGAGUUGAUAAGCUUGGAUGUGGCUAUCUUUAUUUGAUGUCUUGCUCUCCAACUUGCUAUUGAUAUAUUGUUUGUUAAUUGACUCUAAAGUCCAAGGGAAAUUUGGGUUUCUAUAUGACAUUCUUGUCUAUUGGAUUGCAGCCCAUUGGUCAGAUCUUUUCAACUUUUAACUUUUUAAAUUUGUGCUUAGGAUUAGUCUCCUCAUCUCCUCCCCACUUAUUUAAUUUCAAAAUCUCUUCCCCCUUUCUUAAAAUCUUCUUUGCUUGUGCUUGUUUUCUAAACUUAGACUAUAUUGCAAAUUAGAAACUUUGGCCUUAUGCCAUUGCAUUUUCAACCUUCUUUUCUUAAAUAAACUUGUAAAUAAACUUAAAUAUACUUGACCUAAAAUUUUCAAAAGACAUAAAAAACUAACACUAAUUCAAACCAUUUUAGGCCUCUUGUGCCUUUGUUAAACUUAAAAUUUUGUUAAAAGCAAUGUACUCACUUUGAAAUUGAUACCACGAACUACAAGGUUUUGUUCCUUUAUUUUACGUUGGUACGUAGGCACAAGUCCGAAGGUCUAGUCAAACACAAAAUUAUAAUUAAUGAAUUCUUUUCUCACCCCCACACUCCAUUUUAUUGCAAACAUCAUUUGUACAAAAACACUUAUGCACACAAAAAUGGGCUCCCUAGGGGUACCUAAGACACUUUAGGUGUUAACAUCUUCCCUCUGUGUAACCAACCCCUAUACCUGUAAUCUCUGACAUUUUAUUAGUUUUGAUUUCAUAACUUCUUAUCUUUGGGUUUUGUUCGUACUUUUCCCUUUUCCCUUGGAAACAAUAAAAGCGCGGUGGCAACUCUGGUUUAAUUGGCGUCUAGCUUAUCCAUAGCUUGAUGGUCAUGAAUUUACCGCUACAAAAACUAAGUGGCGACUCUGCUGGGGAGUAGUCUCCAGUGGGUUUAGCCUACUUUUUUGUGUGUAUAUAACUGUAUAUUUGAUGUAUGUAUAUUUGCUUGUAUGAUAUAAUCUGCUUGUUGUGCUUGGUGAUCUCUGAGUGGUGAGAUAAGUUCUAACCCGAACUUAAGUGCAAUUAAGAUAGGAGGAUGGUAUAGUCAUGUUCGUCUUGUGUGGAGUAGUCCUUAACAAGUUGGCUUGAGACCCAUCUACUCAGUGGAGACCCUUUUGGAGUUAUGAAUGUCACACAAGUUAUUUGUGGUUAGGCAUUACUAUCUCUGAUUUGGGGUCCGAGAAGCAUAGUCCUUAACAAGUUGGCUUGAGACCCAUCUACUCAGUGGAGACCCUUUUGGAGUUAUGAAUGUCACACAAGUUAUUUGUGGUUAGGCAUUACUAUCUCUGAUUUGGGGUCCGAGAAGCUGAGGACCGUAGAAAAUUUAACCCCUCUUGGCCUAAUUAGGACGUAGUGCAGAGACUGUUUAAGUGUAGACUUGAUCACAGUUGUUACGCGAUGCUACACUCAGACGAGUUUCUCUUGAGAAUAUUAUGGGUUGAUGAGUCAUUCUUUCUAACCUAUAAUAUAUGAUAGAUGGAAUUAAGACUCUGGGAACUUUUUAGAACAUGAUCUACAGGUUUUUAUCCUUAGUUCACUCCCUUGGGAUGGUUCUUACCCAGACUCCAUGCUCGUGACUCACAAUAAACCCUUGAUUCUUGGUUGAUCCAAUCCAGUCUUGUCAAUAUCAAUGGAACUUGGGUGUUGAUAAGGUGUAAACCACAAUCCACCAAAAUGGAUGAUUGAUCUUGACAAUGACUUGAUUCAUCCCUUGACCUUUGUUUGUUUGCCUUAUGUGUGAUCCCUUGUUUGUGAUUGUUUCAUUCAUGCAUUCAUGUUCAUCAUAACAUUCAUCACACGGAAAUGUCAAGGAACUGAGGUAUUAUUUGCAAAUAUUUUCAAACCAUGGAUUGUGGACGAAGGAACACUAAGAAGUACAGUUUCAGGUCCCCAUAUUUGAAAGAGUUAAGGAAGCUUGUAUCUUUUGUAUUAUAUCCCUUGGACUUCAAGCAACAUCAUCGGAAGCUUCUGUCUAUUCUAUCUGCUGAUGUGGUUGAAGGACUCUUGAGUGUGUUGGUUCAGUUCUAUGACCCUCUCUACCGUUGCUUCACUUUUCCUGAUUAUCAGCUCGUACCUAUGUUGGAGGAGUAUGCCCGUCUCUUGGGAAUACAUGUUUCUAGAAAAGUGCCUUUUAGUGGAUUGGAAGAGAUUCCCAGAUCUCAUCUUAUUGCUGAAGCCCUUCACUUGAAAAAGUCUGAGAUAGAGGCUCAUUGGGUGAAGAAAGGAGGAUUGUUUGGGUUGACUUAUGAGUUCCUCAUCAAGGAAGCUACUGCUUUUGCUUAAGCUGGUAGUGUGCAUGCUUUUGAAGCCAUCUUUGUAUUGCUCAUCUAUGGGUUGGCUUUGUUCCCCAACAUUGACGGUUUUGUUGAUGUUAACGCCAUUAGAAUUUUCUUGAUUGCGAAUCCUGUGCCUACUUUGUUAGGAGAUAUGUACUUCUCUUUGCAUCUAAGGAAUUCUAAAGGUGGUGUAACUAUUGUGUAUUGUGUUCCUCUUCUGUACAAGUGGUUUAUUUCGCACUUGCCUCAAACACCUGCUUUUAUGGAGAACAAACAAUGUCUACGGUGGUCUCAGAGACUUAUGCCUCUCAUUAAUGAUGAUAUAGUUUGGUAUGAUCCUUCAUUGAGCAGUUUGGAUAUUAUUGAUUGUUGUGGUGAAUUCUCUAAUGUGCCUCUCAUUGGUACACAGGGAGGAAUUAACUACAACCCUGCUUUGGCUCGUCGUCAACUUGGGUUCCCCUUGAGAGACAAACCUAAUAAUAUUUUGUUAGAAGGUAUUUUCUGUCAAGAGGGUAAAGAUCCCCAACAUUUGAAGCAGAAGAUUGUGAAUGCUUGGCAUAAUGUGCAUAGGAAAGGAAUAUUUGAGCUUGGUCCGCACAAUUGCGUAGCUUUGGAAGCUUACACUUUUUGGGCGAAGAAGAGAGCUUUGGAGUUGAAGAUGCCUUAUGCUUGCGAAAUACCUAUGUCUAUGGUUAUGGAUGAGCCAUUAACUCUCCCUAACCAAGAUGUAGAGGAGUUGGAAGACGCGCUCGCCAAGAUGAAGCAAGAGAAGGAUACAUGGGAAGAGCGUUUUCAUGCUUUGAGUAUAAAGCAUGAGGAGUUGCAACUUGAGUCUAAGGACAAAGAUGCACUUAUUGAGCUACUUGAAGACCGAGUAAGAAAGAGACAGAGAGAGCUAGAGGUUUCAUCUUCCUCUAGUAUGCCUCAGCCUCCCGUUGAUUGGAAGAGGAUUGUUGACCAGCUUGUCCUCGAGAAGACUCGGAUGAAGGCUUCUUUUGAGACCGAGAUCCAACGCAUCCGAAGGAAGUACGUGCCUGUAGCCAGAUCUUCUGAUGUUGUUAGGGAUCCUUAGGAUGACUAGUCUCCUUUUCUCUUGUAUUUUGUAUUUUUGGUUUCUGGAAUUGUACUUGGUGUAAUCCUUCCAAUUAUAUAAAUAAAAAAUAUUUUUAUGGUCAUAUCAAAUUAUUGCAAUUACUGUUAAAUAUAUAUAUUUGCAAAUAAAAUAGUAAGUUCCUUGAAAAUAAAAACAAUCAAGCAUUGCAUUUCAUGCAUCAUUUGCAUAAGCAGGUUUAUCUUUCGCCAGAUGUCUUAUUGGUAUUUCUUCUGUGCUUCAGCCAAGCUGACUCAUCGAUACAAAACCCACGCCAAUCACUCAAAGAUUAUGGAGCAUCUAGAAGAAGAGAACGAAGACUUGAAGGAUGAGAUCGCCCGUCUGACUACCAUGAUGGAGUCAGUGCUAGCCGCUCAGAGCCAAUCUUCUCCAACACCUACAACUCCUCCUCCUCAGAGGACUGUUAUUUCCGAGGUUGCUACCUCUACCUUUGAGGACCGCGCGCCAAACGUAAAAGCUUACCCACUACCUGCCCAUGGAAGUUCAUCUGUUAAUAUGGUGGACGGUUGUCCUGGCGAGUUCAAGGUAUUUGAUGUACGCUUCAUUAGAAGGUCCUUGGUGAGGAUGCACAAGGAUAUUUGCUAGGUUAGCGAUUUUGAGCAUGAUCAUGAUGGUUGUGCUAUUUGCAGUGUCAAUCCCAAAGGUUGUAUGGUUGUGAAUAGAGACAUCCAGAGGUUGAUGGAUGAAGGUUUGAUUCAGAUUGUUCAGUCCCGUCAUGUAGAUGACGAUGUCAACGUUAUAGUCCCGGUUUUUAAAACUCCUGAGAGAAUGGUGAUUCAGUACGACAACAGCAAUAGUAACAACGUCAACAACAGAUCAAUAUCGUCGUUGGUUAUACAGUUAGUGGGCCCCAUCCCAUAUGCAUCCGAUAAGGCUGUCCCAUAUCAGUAUAAUUCUACCAUGUUAGAGAAUGGUCAAGAGGUUCCUUUGCCUAUGACCAGUUCCGUUGUAAGUAUAGCUGAUGUUACUAAGGUGACUCGUAACGGUCGUGUCUUUGGGCCAGUGUUCCCAAAGAAUGUGGAAGAUUUGUCUGUUAGCAAGAAGGUUGAUGUACCAGUAGUAGAGUCUGUUAGCGUUCUAAGGUGUUAGUCUGGUGAAUCCAUCGACUUGAAGCCUAACGUUGAUGAUGAGGUGCUUAGAUUGACCAAGAAGAGUGAGUUCAAUGUGGUGGAGCAGUUGCUCCAAACUCCCUCCAAGAUUUCAGUAUUGUCUCUAUUAAUGAAUUCAGAAGCGCACAGAGAAGCACUGCCGAAAGUUCUAGAGCAAGCUUACAUGGAACAUGAUGUUAUGGUGGAUCAGUUCGAUCAUAUUGUGGCAAACAUAACUUCCUGCAAUAAUCUCAGUUUCUGUGAUGAAGAACUCCCUGAGGAGAGUAGAAAUCAUAACUUGGCUCUACUCAUUUCGAUGAAUUGCAAGGUGGACGCUCUGUCAAAUGUGUUGGUAGACACCCGGGUCUUCAUUGAAUGUACUUACGAAGUCAACUUUGUCUAGGCUGACAUACCAAGGAGCUCUUAUGAGAUAUAGCAGCGUGAUCAUCAAGGCAUUUGAUGGCUCUCGUAAAACUAUGAUCGGCGAAGUGGACCUUCCAGUAAAGAUAGGUCCGAGUGAUUUCCAAAUUACUUUCCAAGUAAUGGAUAUCCAUCCGGCCUAUAGCUUCUUGUUGGGAAGGCCAUGGAUUCAUGAGGCAGGAGUUGUUACUCCAACGUUGCAUCAGAAGCUGACAUUUGUUAAAAGUGGAAAACUUGUCAUUGUUGGAGGGGAGAAGGCGUUGUUGGUCAGCCACCUGUCAUAUUUCUCUUAUGUAGAAGCUGAGGAUGAGGUUGGAACUCCGUUCCAAGCCUUAUCUAUUGCUAGAGAAAAGAGAGUUGGGGCACCCAUGUCAUUAUUCAAAGAUGCAAAGAAAAUUAUUGAAGAGGGUCAGUCUGAUCAUUGGGGACAGAUGGUAGAGGUCUCCGACAACAAGAGCAGAGCCGGUUUGGGUUUCCAACAAGGUUCAUUUGUGGUUAGAUCUGAAGAUGCGCAACCCAAUUUCUGUAGAGGAGGGUUCAUUCGUGGUAAUGAACAACACUUAGUUGUGGUGCUAGAGGGUGAUGAAGAUGAAGACUACCCAAUUUUGUGAUGCAUGGAAAAGCUUGCAACAAUUGGACUGCUGUUGAUAUUCCUGUUAUUAUGCAUCGAUCUAAGUAAUUGCUUUUAUUUGUUUUUUGAAAAUCCUUCUCAUAUGCCUAAGGGAGAAGUGAACAUUGUUUGGGCAUUUUCAAACUUGGUCAUCAAUAAAAUAUAAUUCUAUUCAUCCACAUCUAUGAUGUUUUAUUUUUACUUUUUGCUUUAUUCUGAAAAUGGUAAUCACAAAAAAAAUAUAUAAAUAAAUAACAUAAUUGUCCAUCGGCAUAAUAUUUGGUCACAAUUCACUUCUCUAAAAUCAAAUAUCAAACUAUUAUGCAGGUUGGUUUCUAACCCCAUCGAAUACAAUGAUCCUUCUCCUUGUCCAAAUUUUGAAUUCCCUGUGUUUGAGGCUGAGGAGGAAAGUGAUGAAGAAGUAGGUGAUGAAUUGUCUCAUCUUCUUGAGGACGAGGGAAAAGCCAUUCAGCCAUUCAAAGAUUAAAUUGGGUUAGUCAACUUGGGUUCCGAGGAUGAUGUGAAGGAAGUCAAGAUUGGGUCUCAACUGUGUCCAGAAGUGAAGAAGGGAUUGAUUGAUAUUCUCCGAGAGUAUUCAGACGUGUUUGCUUGGUCCUAUCAAGACAUGCCUGGGUUAGAUUCUGAGAUUGUGGAGCAUAGAUUGCCGUUGAAGCCAGAAUGCCCGCCAGUUAAACAAAAGUUGAGGAGAACUCAUCUUGAUGUGGCAGUAAAGAUCAAAGAAGAAGUGCAGAAGCAGAUUGACGUUGGUUUCCUUGUUACUGCUGAGUAUUCGCAGUGGGUGGCCAAUAUUGUGCCUGUUCCGAAGAAAGAUGGAAAAGUCUGCAUGUGUGUUGAUUAUAGAGAUUUGAAUAAAGCUAGCCCGAAAUAUGAUUUUCCUCUGCCACACAUUGAUGUAUUGGUGGAUAAUACAACUAAAUUCAAAGUCUUUUCGUUUAUGGACGGAUUUUCUGGAUAUAAUAAGAUCAAGAUGGCACCCGAAGAUAUGGAGAAGACCACAUUCAUUACACCUUGGGGAACAUUCUGUUAUAGAGUGAUGCCUUUCGGUUUAAAAAACGUUGGUGCAACUUACCAAAGACCAAUGACUACUUUUUUUCAUGAUAUGAUGCAUAAAGAGAUCGAAGUCUAUGUUGAUGAUAUGAUUGCCAAAUCCAUUGAUGAAGAAGAACAUGUUGAGCACUUGUUAAAGCUAUUCCAGCAUUUGAGGAAGUAUAAACUCCACUUGAAUCCCAAUAAGUGUACUUUUGGUGUUCGUUCUGGUAAGUUGUUGGGCUUUAUUGUCAGCGAGAAGGGUAUUGAAGUUGAUCCUGUCAAGGUCAAAGCAAUGCAAGAGAUGCAUGCGCCCAAAACUGAGAAGCAAGUCAUAGGUUUUCUCGGCCGCUUGAAUUAUAUCUCAAGAUUCAUUUCACACAUGACUGCCACAUGUGAGCCUAUAUUCAAGCUCCUUCGGAAAGAUCAGUCUUGUGAUUGCACCGAAGACUGCCAAAAAGCUUUUGACAGUAUCAAGGAGUAUCUGCUUGAGCCUCCGAUUCUGUCUCCUCCGGCUGAAGGAACACCAUUGAUCAUGUAUUUGACUGUGCCUGAAGAUAGUAUGGGUUGUGUUCUAGGUCAGCAAGACAAGACUGGAAAGAAAGAAUAUGCUAUUUACUACCUCAGUAAGAAGUUCACCGAUUGUGAGACUCGGUAUUCUGUGCUAGAGAAGACUUAUUGCGCAUUGGCUUGGGCUGCUAAGCGUCUGCGUCAAUAUAUGUUGAAUCAUACCACUUGGUUGAUAUCCAAAAUGGAUCCAAUCAAGUAUAUUUUUGAGAAGCCUGCUUUAACUAGGAGGAUUUCCCAUUGGCAGAUGUUGUUAUCAGAGUAUGAUAUUGAAUAUCGAUCUCAGAAAGCGAUCAAAGGUAGUGUCUUGGCUGACCAUCUGGCUCACCAACCAAUUGAAGAUUACCAGUCAGUGCAGUAUGAUUUUCCUGAUGAAGAGAUCUUGUACUUGAAAAUGAUAGACUGUGAUGAACCAUUGCUUGAAGAAGGGCCAGAGCCUGGUUCCCGUUGGGGAAUGGUAUUUGAUGGAGUUGUUAAUCAGUAUGGUAAUGGCAUUGGGGCAGUAAUUAUUACUCCUCAAGGCACUAUUUUCCAUUCACAGCUAGAUUAAAUUUCAAGUGUACAAAUAAUAUGGAAGAGUAUGAAGCUUGCAUUAUGGGGCUUGAAGAGGCCAUUGAUCUCAGAAUCAAGUAUUUGGACGUCUACGAAGAUUCAACUUUGGUUGUGAAUCAGAUCAAAGGUGAAUGGGAGACGAAUCAACCCGGUUUGAUACCAUAUAGAGACUAUGUGAGGAGGAUUUCAACUUACAUUACAAAGGUUGAGUUUCAUCAUAUCCCUCGAGAUGAAAAUUGGAUGGCAAAUGCUCUUGCAACGUUGGCUUCAAUGAUUGUAGUGAAAUAUUGGAAUGAAGUUCCUAACUUGACUGUGAUGCGUCUUGAUAGGCCAACUCAUGUGUUUGUUGUAGAAGAAGCCAAAGAUGAGAAGUCGUGGUAUUUUGACAUCAAGUGCUUCCUCCAAAGUCAAAUUUACCCACCUGGGGCAUCUCUGAAGGAUAAGAAGACUUUGAGAAGAUUAUCCGACAACUUCUACCUGAAUGGUGAUGUGCUUUACAAGAGAAACUUCAAUAUGGUUUUUCUCAGAUGCGUGGAUAGACACAAAGCAGACUUAUUUUUGAUGACUGAAGUCCAUGAAGGUUCCUUUGGUACUCAUUCAAUGGACACACAAGGGCGAAGAAGAUGUUGCGAGAAGGUUACUAUUGGCUGACAAUGGGAUCUGACUGUUGCAUGUUUGUGAAGAAAAGCCACAAGUGUCAAAUCUAUGCAGAUAAGAUUCAUGUUCCUCCAAAACUGUUGAACGUCAUUUCCUCCCCAUGGCCCUUCUCCAUGUGGGGAAUUGACAUGAUUGGCAUGAUUGAGCCCAAAGCUUCAAACAAACAUCAUUUCAUUUUGGUGGCUAUUGACUACUUCACAAAAUGGGUUGAAGCGGCAUCGUAUGCAAAUGUAACCAAGCAAUUUGUUGUGAGGUUUAUAAAGAAUCAGAUCAUAUGCCGUUAUGGUGUGCCAAAUAAGAUCAUUACUCAUAAUGGAUCAAACUUGAAUAACAAUAUGGUGGAAGCUCUUUGCAAAGACUUCAAGAUUGCACACCAUAAUUCUUCUCCCUACAUACCUAAGAUGAAUGGGGUUGUUGAAUCUGCAAAUAAGGACAUCAAGAAGAUCAUUCAGAAGAUGGUUGUAAUGUAUAAAGAUCGGCAUGAGAUGCUCCCAUUUGAUUUGCACGGGUAUCGUACAUCCAUCCGCACUUCAACAUGGGCAACCCCCUUCUCACUUGUUUAUGGUAUGAGAUCACAUCUUUCAUACCAUAGAGGUUGAGAUCCCAUCAUUACGUAUGCUCAUGGAAGCCAAGUUGAUUGAGGAUGAAUGGUGUCAGACAAGGUAUGAUCAGCUGAAUUUGAUUGAAGAGAAGAGGUUGACUGCCAUGUGUCAUGGUCAGUUAUACCAACAGAGGAUGAAGAAAGCUUUUGACAAGAAGGUCAAACCUCGUGUGUUUAGAGAAGGUGAUCUUGUGCUCAAGAAGAUUUUAUCUUUCAAACCAGAUUCUAGGGGCAAAUGGACUCCUAAUUAUGAAGGCCCAUAUGUUGUUAAGAGAGCCUUUUCAGGCGGUGCUUUGAUUCUUAAUGUGCUCAAGAAGAUUUUAUCUUUCAAACCAGAUUCUAGGGGCAAAUGGACUCCUAAUUAUGAAGGCCCAUAUGUUGUUAAGAGAGCCUUUUCAGGCGGUGCUUUGAUUCUUACAACUAUGGAUGGUAAAGAGUUUACUUGUCCUGUGAACACAGAUGCAGUCAAGAAAUACUUCGCCUAAAAAAAGAAAAGAACAGCUCGCUAAGUUGAAAACCCAAAAGGGCGGCUUAAGCAAAAAUGAGUGUCUCGGUGGAUUGAAAACCCGAAAGGACGGUCCAGGCAAAAGUUAGAGACAUAAAACAGAAAGAGUUAUCCCAAUAAAUUGAGUACCCCACCUUGGGGAAAUUUAUGCAAAAAUUAGGGAUUAUGGCAAGUAACUGCAUCCUGCUGAUCUUCAGUUCUGAAGACUUUCUUGAGCACAUCGUCGGAUUCUAAUCCCCAGUGGCAGCCAAGAGCAUAGUGGAUAUCAAGAGAUGGUAGAAGGAUUAGUGAUCGUUGUAUUCAAUGUAGCCCCUUUUCAUAUAAAUUACCAUUUUUAAUUUUUGUAAAGAUCUAUAGAGUCCUGCCAUUUACAGACUACCAUUCUAUUUAAAUAAAGUUGAGCUUUUAUCCAAUUGUUUCUACUCGUAUUUAAUUCAGCCAAAUAGUUUUAAAUUUUAUUAUGAUCAUUUUGAAAAUUAAAAUUUUAAUCAAAAAGCAUAUUUUCUUAAACAUAUGAAAGCAUUAAAUCUAAGUAAUCGAUUUCAUUUAAAAGGAAUAUCAAUAAUGGUUUGAAAGGAAUAAUCCCUAAGCAUGGAGCAUUAUUGGUUCUCCCUAAAGCAGUAGGUGCGUUUCCUCUUUCAUCCCUGGCAAUGUGUUUAGCACCCGGUGUCUGUUGAUUUCCCCAGUUGUUAAUCCGCCGUUGUCUCUAGCUGGUUUAUGGUUGUUCCCCAGCUAAGUGAGGGCAUUUCGUUGCGGCAGUUUGCAUCAGUUUCGAUAGAACUUUGGUUUCCCCGCAAGUCGCCAUCAAGUUCAUUCCCAAUCAGAGUUUUCUCAUGGUUUCUGAGCAGCUAUUUGUGUUUAUCCCCUGCGGGGUUGUCUCCCAUUUGAUAUGGUGUUGACCUAAAAUUCCCCGCUGAGUUAGUAGCGGUUUCCUCAGCAGAUAUCCUAUCUUCUUCCCCAGCUAGGGUCGAGCCUUUUAGAUGUUGAUCUCUCUUUUCUCCAGCAGUUUAUUUCCCUCUUUUGUGGAUUGGCCGAGAAUUGUAUCGAUGAUUCAAAUUUGCGACAUUUUUCUAUCCUUUGCGAUUGUUUUCAUCAUAAUCAUCAUAUACACACACACAUAAUCAUCAUAUAUAUAUAUAUACACACACACACAUAUACAUAUACACUCAUAUAACCUCAUUAUUGCAUCAUUACACCAAUUGAUUCAUUUUUGAGAUUCUUAUCCCCUGAUAUGGUGACACUUUAUCCCCAUUCAGGGUCGGCGCGUCUGUCCUCCUUCAAUUAUAGAGUGUCAGCCCCCCUUUAGCAGAAAGACUUUAACCUUUCUCCUUUCCCCACUGAGUUAUUUCCUCGUGGAUGAUUAUUAUUUCAGCUUCCUCUCCAGUUGAUUAUCUGGAUGGAACCACUCCCCUUGAGUUAUUUACGUUUCCCUAGGAUGUAUAUCCUUGAUAUGAUCAUCCUAACCGAUGACAGAUACUUUUUCCCCCUGCUUUGAGUUUAUCCUUGAUAUGUUCAUCCUAACCGAUGACAAAUAUCCUCUUUUUGGUAUUCUACCCAGUAAAAAGGUAGUCGUAAUCCCUAUUUGUUUCUCAGAGAGUUAAUCCUUGAUAUGUUCAUCAUAACCGAUGACAGGUUUCCUUCUCUUUGCGGUCUUCUUCCCAGUAACCGGUAGUUGUAAAUCCUGCUUUUUCUCCCCUUGAAGAGUUUAUCCUUGAUAUGUUCAUCCUAACCAGUGACGGAUAUUCUUUUUUUUUUGGUAUUCUAUCCUGUAACUGAUAGAUGUGAUCCCUAUUCUUCCCCUCGGAGUCUAUCCUUGAUAUGUUCAUCCUAACCGGUGACAGAUAUUCUCUUUGAUGGUAUUCUAUCCAGCAUUCGAUAGAUGUAAUUCAUACUCUUGAUGUUCAAGUGGUUUAUGCUUGAUAUGUUCAUCCUAACCGAUGACAGGUAUCCUCUUUGACAUCCUCAGGCAAGUCUAUCCUUUAUAUGUUCAUCUUAACCGAUGACGGAGCCCCUCGUGUCCGCCCAACAGUUUUUAAGUCGUAGCCUCGCCUACGCAUAACCUUUUAUUCCCCCCAGAGUCUCUGUUCCCCAGUGAGUUUUCCUUACGGAAUUCAUUACGCUCUUGUGAACUUUUAGGCUCUCUGAAUUCUUUUCCUUUGUGGCAAUAUUUCCCCAAGGAGAGUUUAGUUUAGCAUUCAUAUCAUAUGCAUCAUGAGGUCUCUUAGGGACCAAAAUUUGUUUCUAUACGUUGUUAUUUAAGUCCAUUCUACUGAGUCGAUACAAAGAUUUUAACCUUCAUCUCCUCAGCUAGAACGUCCUUAAAUAGGGGCAGCUGUAAGACCCCAAUCUUGACCCUAAGAUCCCUCAUGCUAUCUUAUCAUAUGCAUUGGCAUUGCGAUCACAUCUUGGCAUCCUCCUUACCCCUCAUUCAUUAGGUUUGUAUUGGGAGAGAUCACCAAGCACCAUAUUAUUGUAUCAUACUUUGUAUUUUAUCAUUUUUACUAACUAAAAUACCAAAAAUAUGCCUUUGAAUUUGUCUAACUCUUUUGUAGAUAGGGCACUUGAUCCCCUUUGUUCUAUCAAGUUCACAUCUAGGGUUUAAGACCCUCAUUGCUAAGAGCUCAACUAAGAAAUGAUCCACAAUGGCUCUAGGCAUCAUAUAUGAGUCCCCAUGAUCUUUUCAUGUUAUUUUGAUCAAGAAUUCUUCAAGAGUUUGGAUUUGGUUUGAAUUUGGUUUGCCUUGGAAACCCUAGUUCAUCUGGGUAUCUUGAGUAACUUCUUCAACAAGCUUCUUCACCACUUGAUCAAAUAUUUCAAGGUACAUUUCAAAUUUCAUCAUCUUAUGCAUAUAUGAUAUCCCAUGAGCCCCAAAAGUCAAGAGAAUUGCAAGUUUGCAAGGUGGUUGAUGGUAGUUGACUAGAGGAAUUCAUAUGAUCAAAACUCGGGUCCCCUAGAACCUAUCUCCUACAAUUUGCAUCAUAUGAAAAUUAUUACAAGAGAAAAGUUACUCCAAUUGACAUUCCAAACAACUUUCAUAUUUAGGUCUAGAGCUAAUUUUUCUUGGAAAGUCAUUUUUUAUGUUGAAAGGUUAUAGGUCAUUUUGUUUAAACCCUAAUUUGGAGGUCAACUUCCCAAGGCCAUAACUUCCUCAUUUUUUAUGAGAUGAAAGAUUCCAUGGUUGAAAAAUUAAAUUCAAGGUGUCUAAUUCAACUUUAAUGUUUGUAGGAAGAGAUAAUUCAACUUUUAUGAGCAUGUGAUAUAAGGAUACAUUAUAGGUCAUUUUGGACCAAUACCAUUGAACAAGUGAUUUUCCUCAAUUUCAAAAAUGCAUAACUCAUUCAUCCCAAAUCCAAGUAAGGUCAAAUAUGUGACCAUUUUCAAUGUUUUUGAAAUAUCUACAACUUUUAUGAAGACAUGUUUCUCAUUUGAAGCUUACAUAAAAAGUUAGCCAAGGUGGAAUAAGUGAACAUAUGGCUUAACACUUAGAAAAUUUUUUGACAUGUUGAAAUUUCCAAACUUCCACCUCAAAAUUCAUGAUGAUACAAGCUUCAAAUGAAAAAGUAUUUAACGCAAGAGUUGUUCCUCUUGGUCUCACCUUUUCAAAGAGUCCAAAUGCAUCCAUUUUGGACAAGGUUUGAGUGGUAUGCGCAUGGCUUGAACAUGGCAUCAUCAUUUGGCAAGGAUCAACUUCAAACAACUGUACACUUUUGCCUUGCAUUCCAAUCCACUUUCAGACUCAAUUACAUGUGAUUAUGGACUUAAUUGAGUAGCUUCAUGGGCCUGUACACGCCCAUGCAAGCAUGCAUCACUCAAUUGCCAAAUAUGGAAACAACUUUGAAGGUGCAAAUAUCACUUGCUUCAGCAAUAAAUAAGAGUCCCUUGCAUCGGAAUUAGGGACCCCUUGUGCGCUAGCUUUGCCUCCACACUUCAAACCCUCACUAUUGAAAGGAAACCUGAGAAUUUUCUUUUGAAAAUUGAUUUUGAAUCUCACUGUUUGGAGAUUCAAAACUCCAGGGAUCCAAAGCUUUGUUUCAUUCCUAAGCCACUCUUGCAAGCUUUCUGAGGGAGAUCUAACAAGAAUAUCGAGUUCUGCACAACACUGAAGGUAUUUUCAUGAUUUUUUCUUCUCUUCGUUUCUCUCUCAAUUCUCAUCAAUUCUCUUGGAUCCUUGGUUGUCUGAAGUCCUACCAAUAUAGGCAAGAAGAUUGAGUUGCUUUGAGGCCAAAUCGAAGCAACUCAGUUCAUGUACCUCAAAUUUCAACUCCAUCUAUCUCUCAAUAUACUUGGAGUUAGGAUGAAUUGAGGCCAGAUUCGUGAUCAGUUCCAUUUUUACUUUAAAAUCAUGUCCUUCUUUUUCAUUUUUGUGAUGGUGAUGAGAGAACCAGUCUGGCCAAGGUCGCCUGAGAAGACGACCGACGCUUUGCUCCGGUGAUGAGCUGGAUAGGUUCUGAGCCAUAGGAUCAAGCCAUUUUAUUUUAAUCAUGAGCGUUCCUUUUGAAUACCAUUGUGUGGCGCACUGACUCGAGUGUAUGAUGGAAUGCGUGGUUUGGUCCACUUGAUCUUCCACCUCAAUUAAUGAGGGAGAUCAAGUGGUCCACGUUAUUUCUUAUUAAUUGAUUUUCAUUUUAUUUGUUUUAUUUUCAUUAAUUCAUAUUAAAUUUAAUAUUGAUCCAAAAAAUAUGAGAGUUUCACCAAAACAAUUUAAAUAAAAUCCUCUUUCAUUUUCUGAAUUAAAAUUAUUUUUUGGAUCAUUAUUAAUAUGUUUCAUGAUUUAAUUGAUUUUGUGAAUAUUUUUAAUUUUUUAAAAAUACUUUUAAGUUUCCAAAAUAUAUAAAAAAUUUCUCCAAGGUCCUUUGACCUUGUUUGACCUAAGAUAAAUCUCAUGGCCAUUUCUUUGGUGUUUUGAUGAGGUUUUAGGAAAUUGACCAACCAUAAUUUAAUUUAAUGUAUAAUUUUAUUAUUUUUAAUUGCUUAAAUGCCAAAUAAAUUAUGUAGAGCCAUUUUAAUUGAUUUUGUGAGUUUGACUUCUGUUGUUGGGCCUUGGUAAAGGUUGAUUUGACUUUGCUAUGUUAAGAUCAUUGGAUUUAGAGGAUUGAUGGAAUGUACAUUCCAUCUCCCAAAAUGAAUGAAUGGUCGUAAUUUGGUAAAAGUCCUCCUUUGACCAAUUUGUGUUUAAUCCAUUCCCCAUCCCUCUUCAUCUCAUUCCCAUUCUUUAUCCAUUCAUGUCAUGGACCUAUGAUAUCUCUAUAUCCUAAGGCUAGUUGAUUGCAAAAUCAACAUAAGUAUGGGUGAGAUUAGAUCCCCCAUUUUGCAUAUUAUUUUUAUGCGUGGCAUGUCUCAUGAGCAUAGUUUAUCAUACUAUGUCUCUAACAUGUAUUAGCACCAAAAUUUUAUUGCCCGACCUCAAAUAGUUAUGACUUCUACAUAAGUCCAAUUACGAUUGCUUAACAUAGCACUAAAUUUGUGACACAAAGCGCAUAGCAUUCUAGUUAGUGAGAUUGUAAGUCUUCCUUCUUUCAUGGUAUUGUGUGGAAACUUGGCCUUUUUCCCUUCCUUUGGAAGAUGUCUUGGUUCGAGGAUCCAUGCUUGUGAUAAGUUGGUUGAGUGUUAUCCAAAGAAUGACUUAAAUAAAAACAAAGCAAUAUCAAUACUAACUUCUAAUCAACUAACAACUAAAAUUUAAUUUCAAUUCAUUUAUUUUUAAUGCACCUUAUUUUUUAAGCUUUAUUCACUUUCCAUUAUUCAUACCAUUCAAGUUGUUUACUUUAAUGUCAUUUUCCCUUUGUCCACUUGGACCAUAUUUUAUGAUAUAUUGUGUUUGUAUAUACUUGUGUGUUUGUGUGGUCUUUUGACCUUAAUGUACAUAAUAAGAACAAAAACCCUAAAAAACACUUUGUAUAGACUGUUGGUUUGAUCUGAGACUAUUGGACUUAGAAUUUAGGCAACACUCCUUAUGCAGAGGACUUGGUCAAUGCCAACUUUCAUGAAACCAAGUACUUGUGAAGUGAACUUUCAUCUGAUACAAAAUUGAAGAUCCAUUUGAGUUCAUCUACAACAUGAUCAUUAUGAAGCUGUUAUCUUGAACUUAUGUCUAAUGCCAUGUUUUGAAGUCAUCUGAUAUAUGGGCAAUUUUUGAAGAAGAUCAUGGAGUUGAUAAGCUUGGAUGUGGCUAUCUUUAUUUGAUGCCUUGCUCUCCAACUUGCUAGUGGUAUAUUAUUUGUUGCUUGAUUCUAAAGUCCAAGGGAAAUUUGGGUUUCUAUAUGAUAUUCUUGUCGAUUGGAUUGCAGCCCAUUGGUCAAAUCUUUUCAACUCUUAACUUUUUAAAUUUGUGCUUAGGAUUAGUCUCCUAAUCUCCUCCCCACUUCUUUAAUUUCAAAAUCACUUCCCCCUUUUUUAAAAUCUUCUUUGCUUGUGCUUGUUUUCUAAACUUAGACUAUAUUGCAAAUUAGAAACUUUGGCUUUAUGCCAUUUGUAAGACCCCAAUUUUGUCCCUAAGAUCCCUCAUGGCAUCAUAACAUUGCAUUGCAUAGCCUCAAGGAUCAUUGAGCAUCUUGGCUCCCUUUCCCUUUGGGUAGGGAUCUCUUGUGAUGGGUUUGAGAUCACCAAGCAUGCUUGAAUUGUAUAUCAUUUCUUUUGUCAUUUUUUUACUAACCAAAGACAAAAUAUGUCUAACAUCUUUUGUUUGUAGCUUAAGCAAUCACCAGGUCAAGAGUUUCAAGAAGAUCCUUUGUGCAAGAGAUGAGGUAAUUUACUUGGGAUGAGGAUCACAUGAUUAAUAUAAGGAUCUUACAUGAGCUAGGGUUUCAUUUUGAAGCAAUUUCACCAAGUGGUAGAGGCACAAGUUAAAUCAAGACAUUUCAAGGUCAUCUGAGGACCAAAAUCACUGUGCAGUCAACCUGAGGGCUAUGAGGUGGGGAAAUGAGUUGAGACACCUCAAUCAUGUUCAAAUAGGGUCUAUUCAUCAUUCUAAACAUCCAUCUUGAAGAUUCAAAGGUCAUGGCAAAAGUUACUAAAAAUGGAAAAUGACCUAUAAUUCGAAGUUUCCAAAUUUGGCAAGUUUUUGGUCCACCUUCAACUUGACUUGUCAAUAUCAAAGAUGUUUCAAAUGGAUUUUUGGUGAACAUGAAAGUUGUAGAUCUUUGUCUCCCCUUUCCAAAAAGUCCUAAUUCAUGUCCAUAUCAUGAAUGGUUGAGAAGUUAUGGUCAUUUGAUCACAAAGUGUGCAUGGAAAUUCAAAAUGGCAUAACUUUUGAUAUAAUGCUUCAAAUUGGUUCAUUAUUUUGGCAAAAUGCUUCUCAUGUUCAAGACAUCUCAAAAUGAGCUUUGCCAUGCAUGGGAAAAGUGUGCAUGCUCAUUAUUUCACACAUGUGAAAAUUGAAGAAAAUAUUCACCAUUCAUUUUUUGGCUUAAGAUGCAAGCUAACAAAUACUCAAAGCAUGACCAUUGGAUGUUCUUAAGUGGAUUUAAGCCUUAACAUGGAGCUGAUCACGUGUAUUAUGGGCAUGUGAGCUCAUUUUGCAUUUUUGCAAAUUGCUUCAUAACUCCUUAAUCAUGAUUAACCAAUGGAAAAUAUGAUUAGCAUUGUCAUUAGCAUGGGAUAUAAAUACUGAAACCCUAAUCAAAACUGCAAAGAACCACCAUUUUCAGAUCUGAAAUUCAAGAACUCUCCAAAAUUCUCUCUCUUCGAAUUUGAUUUUUCUUCACACAAUUCUCAAAGAUCAUUGCAUAUUUUUGUUCCUAGUGCUUCACUGAGCAAGAUUCAUCCACUAUUUGGUGCAAUUCAUCAAGGAAUCGAGCAGUACAAGAGCAUGAACAUGGCAAUCAGAUUUGGAAAUUGAAGCAGAUUCAAGAGGAUUCAACCGUUUAUUUUUGCUUAAAGCUUCAUAGGAAGAUCAUAGGAGAAGAUCUGGAGCUGUAGAGCUUGAGAGAACACGUUUUCAGAAAGCUUCAUUUCCAGGUGAUGCAAUUUUAGAUCUCUCCUUUUGCUGUUUUUUGAACAUAGAACUGUAGAUCUUGUUGAGUAGAGCACAAGUAUGUGUUUAGAUUUAGAAUUUAGUGAGAAUUGAGAAUGUUAGGUUGACUAGAAGUUUGGAUCUAGAAAAUGUUUCUCUUCGAUCUGUAGAAUCUAUGAGGAAUUAGGGAAAUCUAAGGUCAUAUUUGGAACCUACGUUGGGAGACGAGUCAAACGGUAUAGGACUCGUGAGAUUCUGGAAAAUUUUGGGCGGCGCCACCGUGAGGCUUGCCGGAGAAGACGACCGGAGCUGUAGCUCCGGCGUCUGUAUCAUUUUAGGGUUUGGUGAUGUGUACUGCCAUGUGUUCCAUUGCAUGGACAAGCGAUUGGAUGAUGUUGCUUUGACUGAGCCACGCGUGUGUUGAAGCGCUGAGUGGCAUGCUGAUUGGUUUAAGUGAAACUGCGCGUUUUGAUGUUUAAACCUGGACCAUUGAUCUGGAGCGCGCGCCAGAUCUGAUGGUUGUGGAGUUUUUUGGCUUUACUCAAAUUAAUUCGUUUCCCUCCAUUUUCAUUUGAUUAUUCAAUUAUUUUGCUUAUUUUGUAAAAUUCAUAAAAAAUGCAAAAAUGAUCCAAAUGAGUCCCAUUUUUUUUUCAUGGUUUUGUAUGGAUGUCUACUUUUUUAUGAUGCUGAUUUCAUGAAUUUUUGAUGUCUGGAUUUUUAUUUGUGAAUUUUUGAAUGAACAUUGUGCUAAUUUGAUCUAUUGCAAUCAAUGCAUUGUGAAAUCCUCAUCUUUGAGCCAUAUGAUCCAAUUUUUUGCAUACAUGACAUUCAUACAUAAUAUGAAUUAUUGGUCACUGGUUUGGAAUUUUUCUCACAUGUUAUCAUCAUUUUUGACACAUAGGGAAUAAUGUGACAAUUUGUGUCACAUUUUUGACAUUGAAUUGGUGAAUUUUUGUUCACAUGACAUUUGCAUCAUUCUGGAUUUGAUUUUUUGCAUGAUGAUUACUCAUGACAUGAGGAACUUGUACAAAAAAGCUCAAAGUCAUUGCAUGCAUUUCUGAUUUGGUAUGAAUUUUCUAAGUUGGAAGUUUAUUUUGUGCAUAUUUUUGGUCAUUGCCUGGCAUAGACAAUUAGAGGCAUUUGAUUUUUUGAUUUGAUGCUGGUCCUUUUGAGGACAUUUAGUGGAGUGUUGGAAGGUGUAAUGUGUAGAAGAUUGGGUUCUGGUUUGGUCAUUUGGUUAGGUUUUUAAUUCAUCUCUUAUGCUUUUGUUUGUUGGUGUUUGUUGUGUUGUUUAAAUACACAUAGACUAACUUUGUCUUGUGUUUCAGGUUUGGAUACUCAUCAUUGAUCUUGUGAGAUACAAAUGCAUUUGAGUACUGACCUAUUGUUGUUUUGUAGGGUUUUAACUGAUGUGGUGAACUCAUGAGCUCAUUUGAGUAUUAGGGCACUUAUGCACUGAAUUGUGUAAUUGUUAGAGGGUUUCACUGUUUGUUUUCUGGUUGUAUGACCGAAGUACUAAUUGUUUAGUCUUUGUACAGGUACUUUAGUUGCUUGCUUGCUUUAGCUCUUGCUUAAGCUUUGGAUUAUGGUUGACACACCACUCAGGUAAUUAGCUUCAUACUUCAUGUAGUCUGAAGUCCUGUCACCUUUUUGGCCGGCAUUUUGCUGGCAAGUCCUCCUUCAGAGGCUCUGUUUGUGUUUGUUUAAAAUUGUGCUCAAAGACCUCCAAGAAGAGGCAUGUGAUAUUUGAUAAGACCUCCAAGAGAAGAGGCAAUUGAUGGAUAAAAGGGAUUAGUAGCCAAUCCCCCGUUAUUCAGUAUGUCGUUCUUUAUGCUCGCACUACGUGCUGAUGCUUCUGAACAUGUGCCCCAGAUCUUUGUCUAGAGUUUGUCAAGUGGAAAAGGAUCCCACUUUCUUGAUCCCCACGCUUUCUUUGUCAUGAGCUCACCCCGGCCAAGGUUAAGAGCAUGAGGUCUCAUCCUCAUUACCGAUUUGAUCAACUUCACCCUAACGUUCAAUGUUAGUGGUUAAGAGCUACAGUUUGGCUUGUUCGUCGAGGUUGACAUGACCCCUCUUGACUAAAGCCCACCCAUUGUUUGAGCCUCUUGUAUGGAUAUAGUGUGUAAUGUUUGUUUACUUGUGAGUUAAGUUCUUGUUAGAGAACUCAACUUAGGGAUGUUGAUUGCAUGACAACUAUUAGGCUCGAAUCUUAAUCUCCCUAUUAGUUUGUUGUUUCUCUGGUCUCUGGUUAGGAGAGUGUUUUACCCCAUGGAACUUUUGAUGUGUGUGCUCUUGAACUAGGAGUUUCCAUUUGAGCUUAAUUGGAGGAUCAUUACCAUGUUCAUCCAAGUGGAGGAUACAAGAAACAUUGGGGAUCUCUUAUGAGACUUGUUUGAUUGCUUAUACUUUGUGCUUGCUUAUUCCAAAGGAUGGGAGCUACUUGGAUCAUCAAUAUGAUCUCAAGAGAGGAACUCCUAGUGUGGUUUCAUUUCAAUACUUUGUGCUUGCUUAUUCCAAAGGAUGGGAGCUACUUGGAUCAUCAAUAUGAUCUCAAGAGAGGAACUCCUAGUGUGGUUUCAUUUCUUAUCCCUCAUCUUUUUGUUUUCCUUAGGACUUAGCCCCUAUUCUUCAUCUCUCUACCCUAACCCAAGCCAAAACCCUUUUUGUGCAAACAUUUAACCUGUGUUUUCAACAUUAGAAACCUAAGCCGUAUGCUUUUGAUAUUCAAACUUUCUUUUCAUAGCACUCAUUUUGAAUUGAAUCUUUAAGUCAACUUUGACUACUUUUGUAUAUACUUCUAAUUGGUAGAUAUAACCCAUUCAAAUUUCCCUUGUGUGGUUCCUAUGGCCACUUUCUUAAUCAAAAUUUUCCAUAACCUUUAGCUAUUAGGUUUGAGUUAUCUUUGUGGUAGAUGUAAUACUCACCUUUGUCCUUAGUGAUGGACAAUGAGCCUUCCAUGCUUUUUAUAGGGUUAACCCCUGACUAGCAUGUUGAAGCUAUCCUCACAUGGUGGACUUGUGGUUUUAGGUUGAGUUUUCUCCCUUUGAUAACAAAAGACCUUAAGGCUUUUGGACUAAUCAAUUCACCAAUUUGUUUUGAGAUUUUUACCCCGAACUACGAGUUUUUGAUCCUAAUCUUUUUAUAAGAUGGUACGUAUGCAAUGGGUUUAUCCAUCCAAACAUAAAAUGUAAAUAACUUGUAUAUUCUCUUCUCAUCUCUUCAAUCAUGUUUGCACAAAUAAAUUUUCACAAGACAACAACCUUCACAAGUAUGAAAAGGGCUCCCUAGGAGUACCUAGGAUGUUUUGGGUGCCUAACACCUUCCCAUUGCAUAACCAACCCCCUUACCCGAUUUCUGUCUUUAUUAGUUUUUGUUCAAAACUAUUAGGUUUUGUUCGUUGUCUAACCCAUUUACCUUUGGAUAAAUAGAGUGCGGUGGCGACUCGAACUUGUAUGAUUUACCUUGAGUUAGUCAUAUCGCAAUAACCGGUACACGGAAUACCCCGCCUACACCUUCCUAUACUUUAGGAUUAACAUUGCUAAAUAUUUGGAUCCCUUGCUAACUUUAGGAGAGUUAAGCGUUUACCUUGCUAAAUAUUUAUUAAAUACAAAUAUUAUUAUUAAUAAUGAAUAAUUUAUAAAAUUAAUUUAAUUUUAGUUACAUACAGUGAAUUCAAAUGUAAACCUAUUUCUACUUUUUUACUUCAUCAUUUAAAAAAAAUCAAAAAUUAUUCGAUACUUAUAUCAACCAAAUUAAUUUUAAUAAUUCUAUGGCUUAAAGAAAUUACUCUAUAUCAAAUAAAUUUAUAGUAAAAAAGUGAAUUAACUAAAAAAUACAUAUUAUAAAUAACGAAUAAAUGGAACAACUGAGUCACUAAUUAUAAAAUAGUUAUUAUAAUUAAUGAGCUUUAACAAAUAAACAUUAUUUAAAAUUUUAAUUAGUGCAAUUAGAAAUUCAAAUCUAUUCAUUCUAUCAUAAAUUAAACUAUUUUAUUUAUUAUAUAAAUAUAUUUAUAUCAUACAGAUAACCAAAUAUUAUUAUUUUUUAUAUCUGUUAUCAUAAUAAAAUUAAAAUUCAUAUAUUUAUUGAGAUGUCAUGUAAAUGAAUGAAUGCAAAUGGUGAAUGAAUGUCAAUGCCAUGAAUCCAAUUUAUCAUAACCAAUCCGCUACAGAAAGUGGCGACUCUGCUGGGGUAAAAAGCCUAAUGGGUUUUGCCAACUUUCUGUUCUGUUUGUAUUGGUUUGUGACAUAUUUUUGUGCCAAUUUGGGAUUACUGUAUUGUAUGUAAUGAUUGAUUUGCUUGAUAUUAAUUCCUUGUAUGCUUGGUGAUCUUUGUGAGAUGAGUUCUAUACCGAACUCAAGUGCACUUAUGGAUAGGAGAAUGCAUAGUCUUGUUGACUACUGUGGAGUUAUUCCUUAGCAAGUUGACUUGCAAGUCCAUUCACUUGGUGGAGGUCAUGUUGGGAUCAAUAAUGUCACACAGUAGUUGUGGUUAGACAUUAUUUCCAAUAUAGACUUAGAAGCCAAGGACCUUAGUUUACCAAGCCCAUCUGGCCUAUUUUUAGGAUGUAGUGCGAAAGUGUUCAAAUGUAGAUUUGAUACGAUUGUUACGCAAUACACACUCAUAAGAGUCUCCUCUGAGAAUUAUUUGGAAUAACGAUUAGUCGUUCUCCGAUAAUAUCGAAAGAUGGGAUGAUGACUAUGGGAACCUCUUGUAGAACAUGUUUGCAGGUUUAAACCCUAGUACAUUCCUUUGGGUGGUUCUUAACAGACUUCCAUGCUCGUGAUUUGCAACAAACCUUGAUCAUGGUUGAUCUUCAUACAUCCUUAAUAUCAAUGGAACUUGGGUGUUGAUAAGGUGUAAACCAUAAUCCACAAAUGGAUGAUUGAUAUUAAGGAUAAUAUGAUCCAUCCCAUGACCUUUGUUUGGUGUGCUUUGCGUGAUCCUUGAGUGGUGAUUGUUGCAUUCAUGCACUCAUUUGCAUCCAUAUCAUCAAUAAUAAAAGAAAUUUUUCAAAGGAACUUAAGGGUUAUUUGCAAAAUUUUCAGACAUGGAAAGACAAGAAGGAAGACAAAAAAGUAAGCUUUCAGACAGCAGAUUUGAAAGAGUUAAGGAAUUGACAAUCCUAUGUAUUAGAUCCUUGGGUUUCAAGGCUCCCUUUGGAAGCUUCUCCUCUUCUGACUACUCAGGUGGAUGAAGGUUGAUGAGCGUAUUGGUGCAGUUUUAUGAUCCCUUGUACGCUUCGUUUCUCACGUUUCCGGAUCUUCAGCUUUUGCCUGACCCUGAGGGUAUGCCUAUCUUGUGGUAUACUUAUCUGAGUCAGUUCACCGUAUAGUCUAUGGGAGAGUUAUUCCUACUCUCAAGAGCAUAGCUAGACAUGUUGCAACUAAGAUGAAUCUCUGAGUAGUGCUCAUAUGACUACAAAAGGUGGGAUUCAAGGUCUCCCCUUCUGAGUUCCUCAAUUGCUCAAGCUACUAUUUAUGGCAGAGGCCAUGAGUAAUGAUUCCUUUGAAGCAUAUUGCUACUUCCAUUAUGGGUUGGUAUGGUUCCCCAACAUCGACAAGUUUGUGGAAAUGUGAACGCUAUUAGGCAUCUUUCUCCGCUCUCAAUCUUCGACUCUGUUGGGUGAUACCUAUUUCUCUUUGCAUAUGAGAUGCCAGAAAGGGUCGUGGUGCCAAUUAUGGGUGUAUUGCUCUGUUGUAUAAGUGGAUUUUUAUUUUUCUCACUACUCAGACACGGUCGCCUUCAAGGAGAAAAGGAUUCUACGGUGGGGGGUUCCACAGAUUAUGUCUCUCACUAAUGAUGAACUCUUUGGUAUAGACCGUGAUAUAUGCUGAUAUCUCUUUGUAUCUCGUAUGGUGAAUUCUCCAACGUACCUCUUCUUUGGCUACAUAUGGUGGGAUUACUACAACCCUGUGUUAGGCACGUCAUCCAGCUUGGGUCCCUAAAAGGAUUAAACCCUAAUAACAUUCUUUUAGAGGGUGUGUUCUUUCAGGAGGGUAAAGAUCCCCAAGGCUUGAAGGGCAGAAUGGUUCGCGCUUGGCGCAAGGUUCAUAAGAAAGGAAGGAAGGAGUUGGGUCCUAAGAAUUGUGUUGCUAUGAAGCCUUACACUGCUUGGGUAAGGAAGAGAGCAUCUGAGUAUCUCAUGCCUUACGAAUAUCCGAGACCUAAACCUUUGGUUGUGGUUGGGCCUUCAACCCUCCCUAACCAAGGAGUAGAGGAGUUAAGAGACGAAGACCUAUCACGUGCCUGGAUCCGUGAAAGGGAGGAGUUGCUUCAGCAGAUUAAGGAGAAAGAUGCUUUGAUAGAGUUCCUCGAGCAUCAAGUUAUUGAUGAUCCUAAUGAUGCAUGGACUUUUCUACUUCCCCAGUCUUCCAUGUUUUGGAAGAGGAAGUAUGACCGACUCACCAAGGAAAAGGCAGACAUGGAGGCAGCUUACGAGAAGGAGGUGAAGAGACUUCGCGCAUCCUAUCUUCCUGUGUCCCGAGCUUUAGAUGAUUGUUUCUAGGGAUCCAUAGGAUGAUUAUUUUCCUUUUCUCUUGUACAUGAUUGACAAUGUUGUACUUCUUUUCCCUGAUGCUAUGCUAUGAUAUAUUUCCAUAUGUGAUAAACGGUUAAUAUUUCCAAAAUUUGCAAAUAAAACCCUAGAGUUCCUUUGAAAUAAAAACAAAUCAUAUGCACAAGCAUUGCAUGCAUCAUAUGCAUAAGCAGGUUUUGUACUAGAGUUCCUUUGAAAUAAAAACAAAUCAUAUGCACAAGCAUUGCAUGCAUCAUAUGCAUAAGCAGGUUUUGUUCCCGGCUUCUGGUCUUGUGGUCUAACUCUGUGCUCUUCAUUUAUUUUGAAGAUAAGCUGACUCACCGGUACUACACUAGAGCCAACUCUUCAAGACUAAUGGAUCAUCUAGAGCAAGAGAACCGUGAACUCAAAGAAGAAGUCGCCAGACUGAGUGCUUUGAUGGAAUCAUUCCUGGCUGCCCAGAGCCAGUCUUCUCCAACGCCUUCAACUCCUUCCCAGAGGACAGUCAUCUCUGAGAUUGUUUCCUCAACUGUGCCUGCAGCCAAUGCACAUUUUGCUCCAGCAGCUAUGCCAACCGGGUUCCCGUGCGGGAUGCCUCCCAAUUUCAUGCUUGAGGGUCCUGCUCCAACCUUUGCUUCUAUGCCGACAUCUAGCCCGGUCCUUGUUGUUCCUCCGCCUGUCGUGCAUACCAUGCCUAGGGUAGACGACACCAUCUAUCAUUCUGAGCCGUCUGAAGGCCCAGAUGUCCAUGAGAAGAUGGACGCUAUGAACGACCAAUUUCUUGAGCUUCACAAGGAAUUGAAGACUCUUAGAGGAAAGGAUCUGUUUGGCAAGUCUACUGCCGAUCUGUGCUUGUUUCCCAAUGUGAAGAUCCAUGUGAAAUUCAAGGUCCCUGACUUUGAAAAAUACAAGGGGAACACCUGUCCUCUUAGCCACUUGGUCAUGUAUGCCAGGAAGAUGUCAACUCAGACUGAUAAUGACCAAUUGCUCAUCCACUACUUUCAGGACAGUCUGUCCGAUGCCGCUCUGCGCUGGUAUAUGGGGCUGGACAGUGCGAACAUCCGAUCCUUCAACGAUCUUGGCGAGGCCUUCGUCAAGCAAUACAAGUAUAAUAUGGAUAUGGCUCCCGAUAGGGAUCAAUUGAGGGCCAUGUCCUAGAAGGACAAAGAAACAUUUAAAGAGUAUGCCCAAAGUUGGCGAGAGUUGGCAGCACAGAUCGUGCCUCCGCUAGAAGAGAAGGAAAUGACCAAGAUUUUUCUGAAGACCUUGAGUUCAUUCUAUUACGAGCGGAUGAUUGCUAGCGCUCCUUCUGACUUCACCGAUCGUGCCUCCGCUAGAAGAGAAGGAAAUGACCAAGAUUUUUCUGAAGACCUUGAGUUCAUUCUAUUACGAGCGGAUGAUUGCUAGCGCUCCUUCUGACUUCACCGAGAUGGUGAAUAUGGGGAUGCGAUUAGAAGAAGGGGUUAGAGAAGGACGUCUGACCAAAGAAGAAGGCUCUUCUGCCAAACGUUAUGGGGCGUUUGCAAAGAAGAAGGAUGGAGAGGCACAUGCUGUAACCUCCCAUGUGAAACCUAGAAGACCCUCUGUGAGGAGGAAGACCAUGCGUCCCGCUGGUAACCAGCACCAGGUGGCUCACAUAGCACCUGUUUUCAGAGACAAUCAAAAGUAUCAGCAACAUAGCAACAUAGCAACAAUCAACAAUCACCUCAGCAAUACCAACAACAACAGCACCGUCCGCAACAGCAGGCCUAUCAUCCUUGAAACAGUAAUCAAACCAGCACGAGUUACGAGAGGAAAAAGGUCACUUUUGAUCCGAUUCCGAUGACGUACGUAGAACUAUAUCCCUCUUUGAUAAAGAGGAAGUUGAUUACUCCGAGAGACCCACCAGCUAUACCUGCUAACCCUCAGUGGUGGUAUAAACCUGAAUUGCACUGUGUAUACCAAUCUGGUGCUCCCGGCCACGACGUGGAGAAUUGCUAUCCUUUGAAGACCAAGGUUCAAGACCUUGUGAGGUGUGGCAUCCUGUGUUUUGAGGACGUAGGUCCUAAUGUGAAGAAGAACCCAUUGCCCGAAGGUUCAAGACCUUGUGAGGUGUGGCAUCCUGUGUUUUGAGGACGUAGGUCCUAAUGUGAAGAAGAACCCAUUGCCCGAGCAUGGGAAAUCUGUUAACAUGGUCCAGGGCUGCCCUGGCAAGUACAAGGUCAAACAUGUCAGUCAUAUCCGACAGUCUCUGGUCGAGAUGCAUCGUUUGCUAUGUGAGUACAGUCACUAUGAACACGAUCAUGAUAGAUGCCGAAUAUGCCCUGUUAACCGAUUGGGUUGUCGCCAGGUGCGCAAAGAUCUUCAGGAAAUGCUGGACGAAGGAGUUAUUGAGAUCCUUCAGAAUAGGAAUGUUGACGAAGAUGAGCCUGAGGUCAACGUAAUUUCCCCAGUAUUCCGGAUGCCCGAGCCUGUUAUCGUUAAGUAUGAUGGUAGCAAGCAGAAGGUUUCCCCUUCCCUGAUCAUUAAGCCUGCCGGUCCAGUACCGUAUUCCUCUGAAAAAGCCAUUCCCUUCCGUUACAAGGUUGUUGCUGUAGAAGGUGAGAAAGAGGUGUCUUUACCAUCCUCCUCCGUUGUAAAUAUUGCUGACGUAAGUGGUUUGACCCGCAGCGGUGUGUGUUUUCAGCACCACCGAAGCCUCAAGCUAGUACUGAUGUUGUUGAACGCCCGAUUGGGAAUGUUGUAAGCACCCCAAAUCCGGCACCUGUUGUUAAGCCCUCCUCUAUACUAAAAACUCCUACUUCUGUUGGCCCUAGCGGCAAUGUGAAAGAAGACUGUGAUGAGAUGCUGAGGCUCAUCAAGAAGAGUGAGUACAAUGUUGUAGACCAGCUUCUACAAACGCCAUCCAAGAUAUCCGUGUUAUCAUUACUCCUGAAUUCAGAACCACAUAGGGAGGCUCUGCAGAAAGUUUUGGAUGUGGCAUAUGUAGAUCAUGAUGUCACAAUAGAACAGUUCGAUAGCAUUGUUGCAAACAUUUCUGCUUAUAACAAUUUGAGUUUCUGUGACUCUGAUCUCCCUGAGGAGGGAAGAGACCACAACUUGGUUUUACACAUAUCCAUGAAUUGUAGAGACGACGCCAUGUCCAAUGUACUGGUGGACACUGGGUCAUCCCUGAAUGUAUUGCCAAAAACCACUCUCUCAAAACUGUCUUAUCAAGGGCCUCCCAUGAGGCAGAGUGGGGUAGUUGUGAAAGCUUUCGAUGGGUCUCGAAAGACUGUGAUUGGGGAAGUUGAUCUCCCUAUCAAGAUUGGACCAAGUGAUUUCCAAAUUACCUUCCAGGUUAUGGAUAUUCACCCAUCGUACAACUGUCUCCUAGGCAGACCAUGGAUUCACGAGGCAGGCGCCGUGACAUCCACCCUACACCAGAAGCUGAAAUUUGUGAAGAAUAAGAAACUGGUAGUGGUAGGGGGAGAAAAGGCUCUCCUGGUUAGCCACUUGUCUUCCUUCUCGUACAUAGAUGCUGAAGAUGAAGUUGGAACUCCUUUCCAAGCUUUAUCUAUAGCUGAGCCUAUUGAGAAGAGAAUUCCUUCAUUUACUUCCUAUAGAGAUGCAAAGUGGGCCAUUGAGUGUGGUGCAAUUGCUGGUCUAGGAAAAAUGAUUGAGCUGGAAGACAAUAAGUCCCUGGCUGGCAUUGGCUUUUCUUCUGGGGUCUUCAAUGAGAAAGGGCUGUUCAAGAGUGGAGGUUUUAUCCACACCAGUCAGGAUGAGGAAGUUGUUGCUGUCUUGGAAGAGGAUGUAGAGGAUUCUGGCAAUUUCAUCAUCCCUGGAGGGAUCUGCUACAAUUGGGUCGCUGUGGAUAUUCCUACAGUUGUCCACAAGUCCACGUAAUGAUCACUUUGUUAAAAAACCCUUCUCCCAUGCCAAAAGGAGGAGUGAUGACAUUGUUGGCAACAUAAAUACAAUGAUAUUUUCAUUCAAUAAAUUCAUGUUAAAUGUUUGUUUUUCCAAUUAUUUUCCCUUUUUGCUUUUUGCAUGAAAUUGGUGAUCACAUAAAACCCUAAAAAUAGAAUAAAAUCAAUCUUUUCAUCUGCAUAAUGAUUUGCCUUGUUUGAUUUCUAAAAGCUUUUCAUAUCCAAAAUCAUUAUGCAGGUUGAUCAAACCCAUUGAACAUAAUGAUCCGACACCAUCUCCUAAUUUUGAAUUCCCUGUAUUUGAGGCAGAGGAAGAUGAUGUUGAGGAGAUUCCUGACGAGAUUACCCGUCUACUUGAGCAUGAAGAGAAGAUCAUUCAGCCGCAUCUUGAGAAUCUGGAAACAGUGAACUUGGGGUCUGAGGAUUGUGUGCGAGAAGUGAAGAUUGGGGCACUCCUGGAAGAAUAUGUUAAGAAGGGGUUGAUUGAAUUGCUACGAGAAUAUGUCGAUAUCUUCGCUUGGUCGUAUGAAGACAUGUCGGGUCUAGAUACAGAUAUUGUGCAACAUUACCUACCCUUGAAGCCUGAGUGCAUGCCUGUGAAGCAGAAGCUCAGAAGAACUCAUCCUGAUAUGGCAUUGAAGAUCAAAGAAGAAGUUCAGAAGAAAAUUGAUGCGGGGUUUCUGGUGACUUCUACAUAUCCUCAAUGGGUGGCCAAUAUUGUGCCCGUGCCUAAGAAAGACGGAAAAGUCCGGAAGUGUGUGGACUAUAGAGACUUGAAUAAAGCUAGUCCGAAAGAUGAUUUCUCUCUACCACAUAUUGAUAUGUUGGUCGACAAUACAGCUAAAUUCAAAGUCUUCUCAUUUAUGGACGGAUUUUCUGGAUAUAAUCAGAUUAAGAUGGCACCCGAGGAUAUGGAGAAGACAACAUUCAUCACACCUUGGGGAACAUCGAGUGAUGCCCUUCGGUUUGAAGAACGCCGGAGCCACGUAUCAACGAGCUAUGACCACCUUGUUUCAUGAUAUGAUGCACAAGGAGAUUGAGGUAUAUGUUGAUGAUAUGAUUGCUAAGUCAACAACGGAAGUGGAACAUGUAGAGCACUUGUUGAAGCUUUUUCAACGUUUGAGGAAGUACAAGCUUCGUCUGAAUCCCAACAAGUGUACAUUUGGAGUCCGUUCUGGCAAGUUAUUGGGCUUUAUUGUCAGCGAAAGAGGUAUUGAGGUUGAUCCUGCACAAUACAAGAGAUGCCUGCGCCCAAAACUGAGAAGCAAGUCCGAGGUUUUCUUGGCCGCUUGAAUUAUAUUUCCAGAUUCAUAUCCCACAUGACUGCCACAUGUGCGCCGAUAUUCAAGCUCCUUCGAAAAGAUCAUUCCCAUGAUUGGACCGAGGAUUUCCAGAAAGCUUUCGAUAGUAUCAAAGAGUAUCUGUCUGAACCUCCAAUCCUGUCUCCGCCUGUAGAAGGAAGACCAUUGAUCAUGUAUUUGACUGUCCUUGAAGAUUCAAUGGGUUGUGUCCUUGGUCAGCAAGAAUAAUCAGGGAAGAAAGAGUAUGAUAUUUACUACCUAAGUAAGAAGUUCACUGAUUGUGAGUCUCGAUACUCAAUGCUUGAGAAGACAUGCUGUGUUUUGGCUUGGGCCGCUAAGCGUCUACGCCGGUAUAUGAUAAAUCAUGCAACUUGGUUUAUAUCCAGAAUGGAUCCAAUCAAGUACAUAUUUGAGAAGCUUGCUUUAACCGGGAGGAUUGCCCGUUGGCAGAUGUUGUUGUCUGAGUAUGAUAUUGAGUAUCGAGCUCAGAAGGCUAUUAAAGGUAGUAUCUUGGCUGACCACUUGGCACAUCAGCCGAUUGAGGAUUAUCAGUCAGUUCAGUAUGACUUCCCAGAUGAGGAGAUUCUAUAUUUGAAAAUGAAAGAUUGUGAUGAGCCUACACUCAAUGAAGGGCCAGAGCCUGGUUCCAGAUGGGGUAUGGUAUUUGAUGGCACUGUAAAUCAGUAUGGAAAUGGUAUUGGGGCAGUAAUCAUUAAUCCUCAGGGCAUACACAUUCCCUUUACAGCAAGGCUAACUUUCAAAUGCACGAAUAAUAUGGCUGAGUACGAGGCCUGUAUUAUGGGAUUGGAAGAAUGCAUUGAUCUAAGGAUCAAGCAUCUUGAUGUUUAUGGUGAUUCGGUCCUCGUUGUCAAUCAGAUCAAGGGUGAAUGGGAGACGAAUCAGCCUGGUCUUAUUCCAUAUAGGGAUUACGCGAGGAGGACUUCAACGUUCUUUACUGAGGUUGACUUCCAUCAUAUUCCUCGAGAUGAGAAUCGGAUGGCAGACGCUCUUGCUACGCUUGCUUCGAUGAUUGUGGUUAAACUGUGGAAUGAAGUUCCCAAUAUCACCGUGAUGCGCUUGGAUAGACCAACUCAUGUAUUUGCAGUUGAAUAAGUGAAGGAUGAUAAACCAUGGUAUUAUGACAUCAAGUGCUUCCUCCAGAACCAGGUUUAUCCGCCCGGGGCAUCUGUGAAAGAUAGGAAGACUUUGAGAAGAUUGUCAGGCAGUUUCUACCUCAAUGGAGAAGUGCUUUAUAAGAGAAAUUUUGAUAUGGUUCUACUCAGAUGCGUGGAUAGACACGAAGCAGACCUGUUGAUGACUGAAGUCCAUGAGGGUUCAUUUGGUACUCAUUCCAAUGGACAUGCCAUGGCUAGAAAGAUGUUGAGGGCAGGCUACUAUUGGCUGACAAUGGAGUCUGACUGCUGCAAAUAUGUGAAGAAAUGCCACAAGUGUCAGAUUUAUGCGGAUAAGAUUCAUAUUCCUCCGACACUUCUGAAUGUGAUUUCAUCACCAUGGCCUUUCUCUAUGUGGGGAAUUGACAUGAUCGGCAUGAUUGAGCCGAAAGCGUCCAAUGGACACAGGUUUAUUCUCGUAGCAAUUGAUUACUUCACUAAGUGGGUUGAAGCGGCGUCAUAUGCAAAUGUGACCAGGCAGGUGGUCGUGAAGUUUAUCAAGAAUCAACGCAUAUUCCGUUAUGGUGUGCCAGAUAAGAUCAUUACUGAUAAUGGAUCUAACUUAAAUAACAAGAUGAUGAAAGAGUUGUGUAGUGAGUUCAAGAUUGCACACCAUAGUUCUUCUCCUUAUAGACCCAAGAUGAAUGGGGUUGUUGAAGCUGCUAACAAGAAUAUCAAGAAAAUUAUCCAAAAGAUGGUUGUUACGUACAAAGAUUGGCAUGAGAUGCUGCCAUUUGCUUUGCAUGGAUAUCGUACAUCUGUCCGCACUUCAACAGGGGCAACCCAUUUCUCUCUUGUUUAUGGCAUGGAGGCUGUACUCCCAGUAGAGGUGGAGAUCCCAUCAAUAAGAGUCUUGAUGGAAGCCAAGUUGACUGAUGCUGAAUGGGUUCAGAGUCGCUAUGACCAGCUGAAUUUGAUUGAAGAGAAGAGAUUGACUGCCAUGUGCCAUGGUCAUUUAUAUCAUCAGAGAAUGAAGAAAGCUUUUGAUAAGAAGGUCAAGCCUCGUGUGUUCCGAGAAGGUGACCUCGUGCUCAAGAAGGUCUUGUCUUUCGCGCCCGAUUCCAGGGGAAAAUGGACUCUAAACUAUGAAGGUCCAUAUGUUGUUAAGAGAGCCUUUUCAGGCGGUGCUUUGAUGCUUACAACUAUGGAUGGGGAGGAUUUCACUCGUCCUGUGAAUUCAGAUGCAGUCAAUAAAUACUUCGCCUAAAAAUAAAAACAGAAUAACUCGCUAAGUUGAAAACCCGAAAGGGCGGCUUAGGAAAAAAUGAGCGUCUCGGUGGAUUGAAAACCCGAAAGGGCGAUCUAGGCAAAAGUUAGAGACAUAAAAAAUGAAUAUAUGCAUCCCGCUAGAUUGAGUACCUCAUCCUAGGGCAAUCUAGGAAAAAAUUAGGGAUUUGGCAAGUAACUGCAUCCUGACAAGACUGUGUUCUACAACUGUCAUCCAUCAGAGAUUCUUGUUCAUUCGUCGUCAACCAAAGCUUCGAAUACAUCGAAUUCAGAAUUGAUGGAGAAAUGGUCAUUAUGUUCAAUGUAGCCCUUUUCCAAUAUAUAUCACCAAUUUCAAACUUGUAAAAAAUCUUUGGGGUCUUGCCAUUUGCAGGCUACCAUUCCAUCAAAUAAAUUCGAGCCUUUAUCCAAUUAUUUGCACUCCUAUUUGUUUCUAUUUCAACAAAUGUUUUGCAUUUUUUUAAUUGAGAAAAUAUCAUUGUUUUAAAUAAAUGAGUUUUCCAUAACUUGUUUUUUAAACAAAGUGAACAUUCACAAUGACAAAAGGAUACUUAGGAGAUCCUCAGUGCUCUCCCAAGGGUGGUAUGAUCCCCAACAGGGUAAGACAUUUGUUCAUAUCCCUGGCAUGACUGUAUCUUCUUCCUCCGGAGCCCCUUUUAUGGUUCAUCCCCGAGUGGUAUGCUUGUUGAGAUGUUCACCACUCUCCCCUUCAGCGGAAGAGCGAUCUUUUCUCCUCAGCAGGUGUGAUCUCCUUGGUGAGUUUGGUACUUGGUGUCGGAUCACCAGAUUCCUCUUAUAUCCCUCAGAUGGAUUCCCCAGUAGAGUUGCUUUUGUGGCAGUUUCUGCCUGUGCAAUGAACUUUUUUCCCCAGCCGGAUUGACUGAUGAUUCAUCCCCCAGAGAUUUUGUGAUUUCCUGGUAUCUCUGAUUCCCCGGCAGAUUGGAUACUCUCCAUUGGAAUUUUGGGCUUCCUCCCUUGAGAUGUAGUACCGGACGGCUGUGUGCCUUUUCCUUUGGAGUUGUUUGUGUUAGAAUGUCUGUUUGUCAGCAUUCAUCAUACAUAAAUCACGCAUAUGUGCAUAUAUCCUUCAUAACAUUUAGAUAUUCAUAUUGCAUUUUUUGCCAUAUAUCUAUUGUUUGUUAUCCUCUGCUAGUUGGUAAUACAUUUCCCAAGCAGAUGUCGGUGUCUGAUCCCUCAAUAUAGAGUCAGCCCCUUUAAGCAGAAAGUGUUUAUCUUUCCUACCAUAUUCCCCACUGAGUUAUAUCCUCGUGGACGACGGUUGUUUCUGCUUCCUCCCAACACAUAUAUCGGGAUGGGUUCCCCUAUUGAGUUAUAUCCUCAUUAGGAUGAGUCUCGAUUCAGUUUGCCUUUUUGGUUUGAUCCUAAAUUGGCCUCUUGUGACUGUCUUUGGUGUUUCCCUGUGGUAAAUGAAUAAUAUCGAUUCAGUUUGCCUUUUUGGUUUGAUCCUAAAUUGGCCUCUUGUGACUGUCUUUGGUGUUUCCCUGUGGUAAAUGAAUAAUUGCUCAGUAAUCAGUAAUUAUUCACCUUAUCCUCAGCGGAGUUUGUGGUUUUCUACCCUUAUACCGGUAGAUAUAAACCCUAUUUUUCCCCCUUUGCAGAGUUAACCAUUGUUGUUCAUCCUAGUUGAUGACGGUUACUCUUCCGUGGUUUUCUACCUAGUAUCCGGUAGAUGUAAUCCCCUCUUUGACGGUUAACAUUAUCCAACAUUCGGUAUUGAUAUUCCCUCAUUCUUUUGGAUAAUUGCUCUGAUUAAGCAAUUUUAUCCCCAGCGGGUCCUCUUUCAUUUACCGUUUACCGGUGAUGUUUGUUGCUCCCCUUGUUUGGUCAUCAUUAUAUAACUAGUUUUGGUAUCCCGAUGCCUUUCUCUGUCGGUCGAUUUAUCCUUUAUUAACCCAGUAACCGGUUGUGGAUAAUCUUCCAUGCGAGUAUUUUAUCUACGUUCCGACGGUAAUAGAUAAUAUAUCUCAUGCACUCUUUGGUCGAAGCCUUUUGUUCUUCCCCAAUCGAGUAAGAUUCGUAUUCUUGUUUUAGAAUCAAAUGUCCAUCCCAUAAUCGAGUUUGCAUUCUGUCCUCUUUUUGGAUGAUGAGUGUUUUGGGAAUAUUCCCCAAUUCAUGCUUUGUUUGGUCAUCAUUAUAUACCUAGUUUUGGUAUCCCGAUGCCUUUCUCCGUCGGUCGAUUUAUCCUUUAUUAACCCAGUAAUCGGUUGUGGAUAAUCUUCCAUGCGAGUAUAUUAUCUAUGUUCCGACGGUAAUAGAUAAUAUAUCUCAUGCACUCUUUGGUCGAAGCCUUUUGUUCUUCCCUAGUCGAGUAAGAUUCGUAUUCUUGUUUUAGAAUCAAACGUCCAUCCCAUAAUCGAAUUUGCGUUCUGCCCUCUUUUUGGAUGAUGAGUGUUUUGGGAAUAUUCCCCAAUUCAUGCUUUGUUUGGUCAUCAUUAUAUACCUAGUUUUGGUAUCUCGAUGCCUUUCUCUGCCGGUCGAUUUAUCCUUUAUUAACCCAGUAACCGGUUGUAGAUAAUCUUCCAUGCGAGUAUAUUAUCUACGUUCCGACGGUAAUAGAUAAUAUAUCUCAUGCACUCUUUGGUCGAAGCCUUUUGUUCUUCCCCAGUCGAGUAAGAUUUGUAUUCUUGUUUUAGAAUCGAAUGUCCAUCCCAUAAUCGAGUUUGCGUUCUGCCCUCUUUUUGGAUGAUGAGUGUUUUGGGAAUAUUCCCCAAUUCAUGCUUUGUUUGGUCAUCAUUAUAUACCUAGUUUUGGUAUCCCGAUGCCUUUCUCUGUCGGUCGAUUUAUCCUUUAUUAACCCAGUAACCGGUUGUGGAUAAUCUUCCAUGCGAGUAUAUUAUCUAUGUUCCGACGGUAAUAGAUAAUAUAUCUCAUGCACUCUUUGGUCGAAGCCUUUUGUUCUUCCCCAGUCGAGUAAGAUUCGUAUCCCUGUUUUGGAAUCGAAUGUCCAUCCCAUAAUCGAGUUUGCUUUCUGCCCUCUUUUUGGAUGAUGAGUGUUUUGGGAAUAUUCCCCAAUUCACGCUUUGGUUGGUCACCUAUUAUAUGCCCAGUAACCGGUAUCCCUGGUGUUCCUUCCUUCUGCUCCCUAUUAUGACUUUUUUCCCCUGUGGAGUCAGAUUUUCCUGAGUUGAGAUAUACCUUUUAGGUCUUCCUCAGAUGAUUUGGUUGAUUGAUAUCUCUCACCCUUAUACCGGUCUUAGAUAUUCAUUCUUCCCGAGCUUGUUGUUCUCUCACCCUUAUACCGGUGAUCAGAUCACAUGUCUCAUUGAGCUUGUUACCCAGUAACCGGUAACACCUCAUCCCGCUGCUUCCCCAGGAGAGUCUUUUUAGACAUCCCCAGCGAGGUAUCUGUUGUGGAUCGCUUUUUGCUGUGUUGGCAUAUUCCCAAAUACAUGCAUCUUUGAGUCAGCUCGAGUCUUUCCAACGGAUUUAUUCCCUUUGGAGGCCCUUUUCCCCAGCUUUGAGUCGUGACCUGCUCACGCGGUUUCAGUCCUUUACUCCCCCGUAGAGUCCCUUCCCCAUGGAGUGGAUAACUCAUAGGGAUUAUCAAAUUUCUUCGGAUGUCUUUUCUUCUUUGUGGACACAUAUCCCCACAGAGUUUUGUUUGUUUUGCAUACAUACAUUGGCAUUAUGAAGUCUCUUAGGGACCAAAAUUUGUCUCUUUGUUAUUAUUUAAGCCCAUUCUACUUCGUCGAGACGAAGAUUUUAACCUUCACUUCUCCGGCUAGAAUGACCUUAAAUAGGGGCAUCUGUAAGACCCCAAUUUUGUCCCUAAGAUCCCUCAUGGCAUCAUAACAUUGCAUUGCAUAGUCUCAAGGAUCAUUGAGCAUCUUGGCUCCCUUUCCCUUUGGGUAGGGAUCUCUUGUGAGUGGUUUGAGAUCACCAAGCAUGCUUGAAUUGUAUAUCAUUGCUUUUCUCAUUUUGUUUACUAACCAAAAGCACAAAAAUAUGUCACUAACAUCUUUUGUUUGUAGCUUAAGCAAUCACCAGGUCAAGAGUUUCAAGAAGAUCCUUUGUGCAAGAGAUGAGGUAUUUCCUUGGGAUGAGGAUCACAUGAUUAAUAUAAGGAGCUUAUAUGAGCUAGGGUUUCAUUUUGAAGCAAUUUCACCAAGUGGUAGAGGCACAAGUUAAUCAAGACAUUUCAAGGUCAUCUGAGGACCAAAAGUCAACUGUGCAGUCAACUGAGGGCUAGGAGGUGGGGAAAAGAGUUGAGACACCUCAAUCAUGUUCAAAUGGGGUCUAUUCAUCAUUCUAAACAUCCAUCUUGAAUAUUCAAAGGUCAUGGCAAAAGUUACUAAAAAUGGAAAAUGACCUAUAAUUCGAAGUUUCCAAAUUUGGCAAGUUUUUGGUCCACCUUCAACUUGACUUGUCAAUAUCAAAGAUGUUUCAAAUGUAUUUUUGGUGAACAUGAAAUUUGUAGAUCUUUGUCUCCCCUUUCCAAAAAGUCCUAAUUCAUGUCCAUAUGAUGAAUGGUUGAAAAGUUAUGGUCAUUUGAUCACAAAGUGUGCAUGGAAAUUCAAAAUGGCAUAACUUUUGAUGUAAUGCUUCAAAUUGGUUCAUUCUUUUGGCAAAAUGCUUCUCAUGUUCAAGACAUCUCAAAAUGAGAUUUUCCAUGCAUGGGAAAAGUGUGCAUGCUCAUUAUUUCAUACAUGUGCAAAUUGAAGAAAAUAUUCACCAUUCAUUUUUGGCUUAAGAUGCAAGCUAACAAAUACUCAAAGCAUGACCAUUGGAUGUUCUUAAGUGGAUUUAAGCCUUAACAUGGAGCUGAUCACAUGUAUUAUGGGCAUGUGAGCUCAUUUUACAUUUUUGUAAAUUGCUUCAUAACUCCUUAAUCAUGAUUAACCAAUGGAAAAUAUGAUUAACAUUGUCAUUAGCAUGGGAUAUAAAUACUGAAACCCUAAUCAUAACUGCAAAGAACCACCAUUUUCAGAUCUGAAAUUCAAGAACUCUCCAAAAUUCUCUCUCUUUGAAUUUGAUUUUUCUUCACACAAUUCUCAAAGAUCAUUGCAUAUUUUUGUUCCUGGUGCUUCACUGAGCAAGAUUCAUCCACUAUUUGGUGCGAUUCAUCAAGGAAUCGAGCAAUACAAGAGCAUGAACAUGGCAAUCGGAUUUGGAAAUUGAAGUAGAUUCAAGAGGAUUCAACCGUUCAUUUUUGCUUAAAGUUUCAUAGGAAGAUCAUAGGAGAAGAUCUGGAGCUGUAGAGCUUGAGAGAACACAUUUUCAAAAAGCUUCAUUUCCAGGUGAUGCAAUUUUCGAUCUCUCCUUUUGCUGUUUUUUGAACAUAGAACUGUAGAUCUUGUUGAGUAGAGCACAAGUAUGUGUUUAGAUUUGGAAUUGAGUGAGAAUUGAGAAUGUUAGGUUGAUUGGAAGUUUGGAUCUAGAAAAUAUUUCUCUUCGAUCUGUAGAAUCUAUGAGGAAUUAGGGAAAUCUAAGGUCAUAUUUGGAACCUACGUUGGGAGACGAGUCAAACGGUAUAGGACUCGUGAGAUUCUGGAAAAUUUUGGGUGGCGCCACCGUGAGGCUUGCCGGAGAAGACGACCGGAGCUGUAGCUCCGGCGUCUGUAUCAUUUUAGGGUUUGAUGAUGUGUACUACCAUGUGUUCCAUUGCGUGGACAAGCGAUUGGAUGUUGUUGCUUUGACUGAGCCACGCGUGCGUUGAAGCGCUGAGUGGCAUGCUGACUGGUUUAAGUGAAACGGCGCGUUUUGAUGUUUAAACCUGGACCAUUGAUCUGGAGCGCGCGCCAGAUCUGAUGGUUGUGGAUUUUUCUGGUUUUAUUCAAAUUAAUUCGUUUCCCUCCAUUUUCAUUUGAUUAUUCAACUAUUUUGCUUGUUUUGUAAAAUUCAUAAAAGAUGCAAAAAUGAUCCAAAUGAGUCCCAAUUUAUUUUCAUGGUUUUGUAUGGAUGUCUACUUUUUUAUGGUGCUGAUUUCAUGAAUUGUUGAUGUCUGGAUUUUUAUUUGUGAAUUUUUGAAUGAACAUUGUGCUAAUUUGAUCUAUUGCAUUCAAUGCAUUGUGAAAUCCUCAUCUUUGAGCCAUCUGAUCCAAUUUUUUGCAUACAUGACAUUCAUACAUAAUAUGAAUAAAUGAACAUUGUGCUAAUUUGAUCUAUUGCAUUCAAUGCAUUGUGAAAUCCUCAUCUUUGAGCCAUCUGAUCCAAUUUUUUGCAUACAUGACAUUCAUACAUAAUAUGAAUUAUUGGUCACUGGUUUUGAAUUUUUCUCACAGGUUAUCAUCAUUUUUGACACAUAGGGAAUAAUGUGACAAUUUGUGUCACAUUUUUGACAUUGAAUUGGUGCAUUUUUGUUCACAUAACAUUUGCAUCAUUCUGGAUUUGAUUUUUUGCAUGAUGAUUAUUCAUGACAUGAGGAACUUGUAAAAAAAAUCUCAAAGUCAUUGCGUGCAUUUCUGAUUUGGUAUGAAUUUUCUAAGUUGGAAGUUUAUUUUGUGCAUAUUUUUGGUCAUUGCAUGGCAUAGACAAUUAGAGGCAUUUGAUUUUUUGAUUUGAUGCUGGUCCUUUUGAGGACAUUUAGUGGAGUGUUGGAAGGUGUAAUGUGUAGAAGAUUGGGUUCUGGUUUGGUCAUUUGGUUAGGUUUUGAAUUCAUCUCUUAUGCUUUUGUUUGUUGGUGUUUUAUUGUGUUGUUUAAAUGCACAUAGACUAACUUUGUCUUGUGUUUCAGGUUUGGAUACUCAUCAUUGAUCUUGUGAGAUACAAAUGCAUUUGAGUACUGACCUAUUGUUGUUUUGUAGGGUUUUAACUGAUGUGGUGAACUCAUGAGCUCAUUUGAGUGCUAGGGCACUUAUGCACUGAAUUGUGUAAUUGUUAGAGGGUUUCACUGUAUGUUUUCUGGUUGUAUGACUGAAGUACUAAUUGUUUAGUCUUUGUACAGGUACUUUAGUUGCUUGCUUGCUUUAGCUCUUGCUUAAGCUUUGGAUUAUGGUUGACACACCACUCAGGUAAUUAGCUUCUUACUUCAUGUAGUCUGAAGUCCUGUCACCUUUUUGGCAGGCAUUUUGCUGGCAAGUCCUCCUUCAGAGGCUCUGUUUGUGUUUGUUUAAAAUUGUGCUCAAAGACCUCCAAGAAGAGGCAUGUGAUAUUUGAUAAGACCUCCAAGAGAAGAGGAAAUUGACGGAUAAAAGGGAUUAGUAGCCAAUCCCCCGUUAUUCAAUGUGUCGUUCUUUAUGCUCGCACUACGUGCUGAUGCUUCUGAACAUGUGCCCNNNNNNNNNNNNNNNNNNNNNNNNNNNNNNNNNNNNNNNNNNNNNNNNNNNNNNNNNNNNNNNNNNNNNNNNNNNNNNNNNNNNNNNNNNNNNNNNNNNNAAAUUCAACAAAAACAGUAAUAAUACACAGAAAACUCAAAAUAAAAACAAACCCUACAAUUCAACAAACUCCUCAAUCUUCCUUCAUUUCAUCGCCAUGGGUUGCACCACCUCCUGCACCCCCAAAAAAAAACUGGCCUGCCCUCGGGCCACUUAGCAUAAUCAACAUAAUCCUCCUAGGAAGGGAAUGAAGAGGAAUAGUUUUGAAAUUUGGAGGUUUGGAAGUGGAGCAGCGAAGUUGUUGAAAGAAUCUCCUAAGUUUGUGAAAAUAGGAAUGAAACGAAAAUGACAUAAAACAGAACUUAAAUGGUUCUGCCACGCUCAGUUCGCUGGGCGAACUCUGUUUGCUAGGCCAACUGAAGGAUUUUUUUUUAUUUUUUAUUUUUUAUUUAUUUUUUUAUAUUCAGUUUGCUGGGCGAAUUGAAGGAAAUUUCAAAAAAAAAUUGUUGGCAGUGGUCAGAACAUAAGUGGUUUUGUCACGCACCGUUCGCUGGGCGAACUUUGUUCGCGGCGCGAACUGAAGCUUUCCAUUCAGUUCGCUGGGCGAACACUGUUCGCGGGGCGAACGGCAAAAAACAGAACCCAAUUUUUCAAAAUUUAACACAGCAGAAAAUCAAUAAAACAGAAUUGAGAAAAUGUAAAAUUCAGACUUACAACGUUGGGUUGCCUCCCAACAAGCGCUUUGCUUAACGUCGUUUAGAGCUCGACGGUUCAACGGUCUUCACGAUCCGCCUUUGUUGAGAAACUUCCUCAAGGGCUUUGUUGUCUUCAAGAGGUUCUUGAUGAACCUUCGAUAAAAUCUGAUACCACCCGUUUUCGGAACUACUUGCACAACACUCACCCAUUCACCAUCGGAGAUAGAACAAAUCAAUCAUUAGUCCAUCAUCAAUAUCAAUCAUCAUUCGGGCCGUUUUCAUGAAUGGUCUUCCAAGAAUUAUAGGAACCUCACGAUCCUCAUCCAUGUCUACUAUCACAAAAUCUACCGGAAACAAGAAUUUUUCCACCUUCACUAACAUGUCUUGAGCAACUCCAUAUGGUGAAGUAGUAGACUUAUCAGCUAGUUGUAAAGUCAUCCUUGUAGAUUUGAUCUCAACAUUUCCCAAUAUUUUGACAAUGGAUAGGGGAAUUAAAUUAAUGCUAGAUCCCAAGUCAAUCAAGCCAUUACCAAUAUAGGUGUCUCCAAUGGUUACCGGUAAAACGACUCGGCGCGGAUCAGAUUCCUUCCUUGGGAGAUUCUUUUGAAUGAUGGCACUACAACGUGCAUCGAGCAAGAUUGUCUCGUCUUCCACAUGUCUUCUUUUCUUUGUGAGAAUAUCCUUCAUGAACUUUGCAUACCGUGACAUUUGCUCUAAUGCAUCAGCAAAUGGAAUAUUGAUUUGAAGUUGUUUGAAUAUGUCCAUAAACCGUGCAUAGUGUCUAGCAUUAUCCUUCUUUGAUGGUGCGUGCGGAUAAGGUAAAUGUUGAACUGGAAUGACAUUCACUCCUUUGUCUCUUGUUUUCUUUUUUCUUGGUUUAAUUUCCUUCUUCAUUUCCGCUUCACACUGCUGUUCUUCCAUCAAUUGCUGAUUCUGCUGUUUUCACGGCGCGAACUGAGCAGUUUGUGCCACUUUCUCCUUCCCACAAGCCACAUCCUCAUUUUCCAGCACAUCAUCCAUAUCAUUCUCAAUUGUAAUUUCCUCACUUUUUUUACUUGUCAACUCUCUACCGCUUCUAGUAAAAAUUGCUUUACAAUGCUCCUUUGGAUUAGUUUGAGUGUUAGCGGAGAAAGAAGAUCCUGCAGUUUGUUCCGACAGUACAAUGCUCCUUUGGAUUAGUUUGAGUGUUAGCGGAGAAAGAAGAUCCUGCAGUUUGUUCCGACAGUUGUUUCGCAAGUUGACCUAUUUGAUUUUCCAAAUUCUUGAUUGCUGCCUCGUUGCUCUUCUCAUUUGCCAUGGAGGCUUGCAUGAAUUGUUGGAGAGUGUCUUCUAGCUUUGAAUUUCCUCCUUGCGAUUGUUGUCCUUGAGAAUUUGGGUGUUAAUAAGGACUUUGCUGCUGAAAACUUUGGUUGUUGAACCUUGAUGGUUGAUAACCUUGAUUGUUCCUUUGAUAGCCUUGAUUUUGAUUGUUCACAUAGCUCACUUCUUCUAGUGGAGGGCAAAAACCAGUCGGAUGAUCUCCUUGGCAUAAUUCGCAACAUGCUACUUGAUGUCGAACUUGAGACCCUUGAAUUUCCUUCAUUUGCUGUGGAAGCUUGGCCAUUUGUUGAGUAAGCAACUCCACUUGUUGAGAGAGUAGCUUGUUUUGAGUAAGAAUGGCAUCAUUGGUAUUUAACUCAAGAACUCCCGAUUUCCGUUGUGAAGGGCUACGGUCAUGUUGACUUCGACGAUCAUUAAGUGCCAUCCGAUCAAUAAUGACUUUAGCUUCUUCAGCAUUCUUUGACAUAAGAGAGCCACCCGCGGUAGCAUCCAAAAGUGUUCUGUGAGUUGAUUGGAGCCCAUUUAGAAAAAUAUGGAUUUGAGUGAGCUCAUCAAAACCAUGACCCUUGCAUUUUCUCAACAUUGACUUGAAUCUUUCCCAAGCCUCAUUUAAAGACUCGUUGCUUCCUUGAGUGAAUACCGCAAUAGCCGUUUUGGCUUCCAUGAAUCGGGAUUGAGGGAAAUAUCUUUCUAAGAACUUUUCUUCUANNNNNNNNNNNNNNNNNNNNNNNNNNNNNNNNNNNNNNNNNNNNNNNNNNNNNNNNNNNNNNNNNNNNNNNNNNNNNNNNNNNNNNNNNNNNNNNNNNNNNNNNNNNNNNNNNNNNNNNNNNNNNNNNNNNNNNNNNNNNNNNNNNNNNNNNNNNNNNNNNNNNNNNNNNNNNNNNNNNNNNNNNNNNNNNNNNNNNNNNNNNNNNNNNNNNNNNNNNNNNNNNNNNNNNNNNNNNNNNNNNNNNNNNNNNNNNNNNNNNNNNNNNNNNNNNNNNNNNNNNNNNNNNNNNNNNNNNNNNNNNNNNNNNNNNNNNNNNNNNNNNNNNNNNNNNNNNNNNNNNNNNNNNNNNNNNNNNNNNNNNNNNNNNNNNNNNNNNNNNNNNNNNNNNNNNNNNNNNNNNNNNNNNNNNNNNNNNNNNNNNNNNNNNNNNNNNNNNNNNNNNNNNNNNNNNNNNNNNNNNNNNNNNNNNNNNNNNNNNNNNNNNNNNNNNNNNNNNNNNNNNNNNNNNNNNNNNNNNNNNNNNNNNNNNNNNNNNNNNNNNNNNNNNNNNNNNNNNNNNNNNNNNNNNNNNNNNNNNNNNNNNNNNNNNNNNNNNNNNNNNNNNNNNNNNNNNNNNNNNNNNNNNNNNNNNNNNNNNNNNNNNNNNNNNNNNNNNNNNNNNNNNNNNNNNNNNNNNNNNNNNNNNNNNNNNNNNNNNNNNNNNNNNNNNNNNNNNNNNNNNNNNNNNNNNNNNNNNNNNNNNNNNNNNNNNNNNNNNNNNNNNNNNNNNNNNNNNNNNNNNNNNNNNNNNNNNNNNNNNNNNNNNNNNNNNNNNNNNNNNNNNNNNNNNNNNNNNNNNNNNNNNNNNNNNNNNNNNNNNNNNNNNNNNNNNNNNNNNNNNNNNNNNNNNNNNNNNNNNNNNNNNNNNNNNNNNNNNNNNNNNNNNNNNNNNNNNNNNNNNNNNNNNNNNNNNNNNNNNNNNNNNNNNNNNNNNNNNNNNNNNNNNNNNNNNNNNNNNNNNNNNNNNNNNNNNNNNNNNNNNNNNNNNNNNNNNNNNNNNNNNNNNNNNNNNNNNNNNNNNNNNNNNNNNNNNNNNNNNNNNNNNNNNNNNNNNNNNNNNNNNNNNNNNNNNNNNNNNNNNNNNNNNNNNNNNNNNNNNNNNNNNNNNNNNNNNNNNNNNNNNNNNNNNNNNNNNNNNNNNNNNNNNNNNNNNNNNNNNNNNNNNNNNNNNNNNNNNNNNNNNNNNNNNNNNNNNNNNNNNNNNNNNNNNNNNNNNNNNNNNNNNNNNNNNNNNNNNNNNNNNNNNNNNNNNNNNNNNNNNNNNNNNNNNNNNNNNNNNNNNNNNNNNNNNNNNNNNNNNNNNNNNNNNNNNNNNNNNNNNNNNNNNNNNNNNNNNNNNNNNNNNNNNNNNNNNNNNNNNNNNNNNNNNNNNNNNNNNNNNNNNNNNNNNNNNNNNNNNNNNNNNNNNNNNNNNNNNNNNNNNNNNNNNNNNNNNNNNNNNNNNNNNNNNNNNNNNNNNNNNNNNNNNNNNNNNNNNNNNNNNNNNNNNNNNNNNNNNNNNNNNNNNNNNNNNNNNNNNNNNNNNNNNNNNNNNNNNNNNNNNNNNNNNNNNNNNNNNNNNNNNNNNNNNNNNNNNNNNNNNNNNNNNNNNNNNNNNNNNNNNNNNNNNNNNNNNNNNNNNNNNNNNNNNNNNNNNNNNNNNNNNNNNNNNNNNNNNNNNNNNNNNNNNNNNNNNNNNNNNNNNNNNNNNNNNNNNNNNNNNNNNNNNNNNNNNNNNNNNNNNNNNNNNNNNNNNNNNNNNNNNNNNNNNNNNNNNNNNNNNNNNNNNNNNNNNNNNNNNNNNNNNNNNNNNNNNNNNNNNNNNNNNNNNNNNNNNNNNNNNNNNNNNNNNNNNNNNNNNNNNNNNNNNNNNNNNNNNNNNNNNNNNNNNNNNNNNNNNNNNNNNNNNNNNNNNNNNNNNNNNNNNNNNNNNNNNNNNNNNNNNNNNNNNNNNNNNNNNNNNNNNNNNNNNNNNNNNNNNNNNNNNNNNNNNNNNNNNNNNNNNNNNNNNNNNNNNGGUGAAAAGAUAUCUUCGGCAAAUAUUUUUAUACGUAUCCACAGAGAUUGGUUGAUAUUACCGCCGUUCUAUAAUCCGAUUUGUUAUAAGUUUAGAAAGUAACAAAGUUGUUUUGGUUGGAAAAUUAUCUUGUGAGUAAAUGUCACUAAAAACAGUAAAAUGGUUUUAAUCAAAUGCAAAAGCUUGGCAAGAUUGGAGUUCAAUAUUUCAAAUGCUUAUGAUUCUUUAUGAUAACUAUAUAGAUUUAAGAUUAUUGAUGAUGUUCAAGUAUCCUCUCAAAGUCAUUUAUGUCUAAAUGAUAUUAUGAUAAUCACUAUAUUGAUCCUUAGACGAUCUCUCCACCUAACUAUCAAUAUAUCAAUCUUUAAUGUUUAAUACCAAAGAAGAGUAAUGAAUAAAUCUAUCUCUACAACUUAUUCACUACUUGAAAGUCUAUUUUAUGUCAAGACUCAAAUAAUCUCUUUCAACAACUACUCAAAUCUGGUUUUCAACUUAGGGCAAAAACAAUAUUCAAUACAUCAACAAUCUUUUUCAUAUAUAAAAAUCAAAUGGAAUACAUAAACAAAUGAGAAUAGCUACUACCUCCAAUCUUGACAAAAUGGAGUUUAGCUCCUCAUCAUCAUUGUUACAAAGCAUAAUGUUAAAAAAUGGAAGAAAAACUCUGUUUUUCUCUCUUACAAAAAUAUCUCAAUGUAUCAAUGUGUGAAUAAUUAUGAAUAAUGUGUUUUUCUCCUAAAAGAGUUGACAUUUCCUUAAUUGAUCAUUUCCAUCCAAAGCAGAAAAGCUAUUCCAAGACAAACACCAAAAUGGCAAGACAGCUGGUCAUGAAGGACAGCAGUUUUGGCCCAAAAUCAACUUGCUAGAUUCGCAGCCUUCGCGGCGCGAAGUAGGUUCGCGGCGCGAACUGAAGCUUAUCCAGCUUCCUUGCUUUGCAAGCUUCAUCCAAAAUCUUCCAAUUUGUGAUGUUUCUUUCCAAAAGCUCUUUCAUCUAAAACUUCUACAAAACUAACAAAUUUGUGAAAUAACUAUUCAAAGCAAAAUAAAUUAAAUCUAAUUGCAUUUAUACCAAUUAACAAGAAUACUAGUGUGUAAUUACAUCAAAGUUUGGUAAAAGGGACCAAUAAAAUGAUAUAAAAAGUAGUACUAAUUGGUCCCUAACAGUACGUAGGCACAAGUCCGAAGGUCUUGUCAGACAUAAAAAUAUAAUUAAUGAAUUCCUUUCUCAUCCCCUCACUCUAUUUAUUACAAACAUCAUUUUAUACCAAAACACGCACACACAUAAAAAGGGCUCCCUAGGAGUACCUAGGACACUUUGGGUGCUAACACCUUCCCUCUGUGUAACCAACCCCCUUACCUGUAAUCUCUGGCAUUUUAUUAGUUUUGAUUUGAAAACUUCUUAUCUUUGGGUUUUGUUUGUACUUUUCCCUUUUCCCUUGGAAACAAUAAAAGCGUGGUGGCAACUCUGGUUUUAUUGACGUUAAGUUUAUCCAUAGCUUAAUGGUCAUGAAUUUACCGCUACANNNNNNNNNNNNNNNNNNNNNNNNNNNNNNNNNNNNNNNNNNNNNNNNAAAGCAGAAAAGCUAUUCCAAGACAAACACCAAAAUGCGAAGACAGCUGGUCAUGAGGACAGCAGUUUUGCCCAAAAUCAACUUGCUAGAUUCGCAGCCUUCGCGGCGCGAAGUAGGUUCGCGGCGCGAACUGAAGCUUAUCCAGCUUCCUUGCUUUGCAAGCUUCAUCCAAAACUUCCAAUUUGUGAUGUUUCUUUCCAAAAGCUUCUUCAUCUAAAACUUCUACAAAAACUAACAAAUUUGUGAAAUAACUAUUCAAAGCAAAAUAAAUUAAAUCUAAUUGCAUUUAUACCAAUUAACAGAAUACUAGUGUGUAAUUACAUCAAAGUUUGGUAAAAGGGACCAAUAAAAUGAUAAAAAGUAGUACUAAUUGGUCCCUAACAGUACGUAGGCACAAGUCCGAAGGUCUUGUGACAUAAAAAAUAUAAUUAAUGAAUCCUUCUCAUCCCUCACUCUAUUUAUUACAAACAUCAUUUAUACCAAAACACGCACACACAUAAAAAGGCUCCCUAGGAGUUACCUAGGACACUUUGCGGUGCUAAACACCUUCCCUCUGUGUAACCAACCCCCUUACCUGUAAUCUCUGGCAUUUUAUUAGUUUUGAUUUGAAAACUUCUUAUCUUUGGGUUUUGUUUGUACUUUUCCCUUUUCCCUUGGAAACAAUAAAAGCGUGGUGGCAACUCUGGUUUUAUUGACGUUAAGUUUAUCCAUAGCUUAAUGGUCAUGAAUUUACCGCUACAAAUGCUUGUUGCUGAUACGACUGUUGUUAUGAUGGGUACUAUUGUUGAGGUUGAUAUUAUUGUUGAUUAUGAUAUUGUUGUGGUUGAUUAUGGUAUUGAAUGGAAUCCUGAUUUUGAAAGUCCCCUUGCUGAUCUUUCCAAGAGAAAUUUGGAUGAUUCUUCGAGCUUGGAUUAUAAGUGUUAGAAUAAGUGUUGUUCUGCUUCAGAAAAUUUAUCUCUUCAAUUUUUUGCACGGUUGUAACACUUUGGAUGGAAAAAUGGAUUCCCCCAUAGAUCUCACAAUUAAUAGCUUGAACAGGUUGAACUUGGGCCACUUGUUGAGUACCUAUAUUCAUUGCCUUAAGUUUUUUCUCAACUUCAGCAACAACUUGGUCUUCCAUCUUCACACUUUGAUUAGUAAGUUUCAAAUUGAUCACACCCUCAGGUCGGCUCACACUUCUAUCAUAUAAUUCUAGUUGUUCAUUUGCAACAAUGGCUUCUAUGAUCUUCAUGAUACUAGUGGUUGUUGUAAAGUUGAAUGAUCCACCAGCAGUUGUAUCAAUUAGUUGUUUAGUCUUCAAUUUGAGGCCAUUAACAAACAUUUGCAUCUGUUCAGUCUGAUCCAAGUUAUAAGUAGGACAAGCAACCAAUAACCUUUUAAAUAUCUUAUAAGCAUCACCUAGUGAUUCACCCUCCUUCUACUUAAAAUCCAGAAUAUCAUAUCUUUUUUGAAUAUAAACAGAAGUAUGAAAGUAUUCAUUCAUAAAAGUUGUUUCCAUCUGUUCCCAUGUAGUGAUACUUCCAGCUGGCAAUGAGUAAAACCAUUCUUCAACAUCUUCAGAUAGAGUGAACAAAAACAUUCACAAUUUUUUUGCUUCUUCAGAGUGCCCAUCUAUCUUCAAAGUAGUGCUCAUAGUAAGAAACCUAUGCAGAUGUUUAUUUGCAUCUUCAUUUAUUUUACAUGUAAAAGGCCUCUUCUAAAGCUAACAGAUGGUUGUAGGAUGAAACUGAAAAUUUAGGACAUUCACUAGUUAAUUCACUAUAGUCACAUGACCCUCGGGGCGUUUUCUCCUCCAUAAUCCCCAAGAAGUCUUUCUAGUGGUUUAUCCAUAACUUAAUCUUCUCUCUCUUUGUCAGAUUCUGUAUCUGAAUGCUCAGAAACUUCAAUCUCUUUUUCUUAUUCGGAAUCUAAAAUUUCUACUUCAGAGGCUUCCAACCUUGCUUCCCUAGCUUGUUUGAGCCUAGCGUGCAAAGUUCUUUCUAGUUUUGCAUCAAAAGUAAAAUCAGCCGAGGGCUUUCCUCGCAUACAAAGAUUAGACAAAGAUUAGUAAUAACCCAAAAAUAGACAUAAAAAUAAAAAUAAAAACUAAAAUUUAAAAUUUUAGUUGCAGAACAACAAAAUUUUAACUGAAAUAGAUCUAUGAACUCUAUAAUCUUUGGCAGUCCCCAACAACGGUGCCAAAAACUUGAUCGAUAAAUUGGCAAGUGUAUGAAUCUGCCAAUGUAGUAAUAAGAAGGGAAAUCCCUAGUAUCGAUCUUAAGGAUUGUUUGACGAUACAAAGUUCUGGAUAAAUUUCAGUUAAACAAAAUCCUUGGGGUUUGUGGAUUGAUUGGUUAAAUUAUGAAUAGAAUGCAAAUAAAGUUAACAAAGUAAUUGCAUGGUUUAGAAAGGCAUGAUUAAUAUGCUAGGGAUAAUGUAUGAUUCAAUUAUUUGACGAUUCUGAACUCACAAUGCAACAACAUAUUCCAGAUAAUUGACUACCAGUUCUUACAAGUGUUUACUCCUAAGUCCUUAGGGAGAAAGCCUUUAAUCAUUCUACCUAACUCCUAUAUCCAUAGAAAAGUACAAAUGAAAUUAAGCAUUAAUUUGUCAAGAAUAAUCCGGUUCUUAUAGGGUAUUCUUAGUCCUAGGUAACAUCUACUAUAAAAUAUUCUCAAGCAGAUUAGUAAUAAUGGUUGUCUAGCUUAAUUAUUACUCAUAAAUCAAACUCCAUUUAUCCGACAAAGAAAGCAUUAAAAUAUUCAAGAGAAUAAAUCAAAUAUGAUGAAAUAAAAUUGUUAUUGCAAAGAGGAAUUCGAAGUCAUUACAGUGACACCCCCUAGCAUUUAUGGGUUUAGCUACUCAUAGAAAUAAAACAAAACAUGAUAAAUAAUGUUUCCAUUGUAGAAAUUUUAGACGAGUUGAUCAUAAAUCGCAAAAAGCUCCUGAAAAUCUGAGUUCUCCAGCCUUCAAAACAUGUUUUUGCCUUCCAAAAUUGUCCAACCCGUGAAAAUUUGUGUUUUCUAGUUAAAUAGACAUUGUUUUCGGGCCUUCAACAAUUUGGGCCUUCAUACGCGUAUUUCCCAAGUCCGUAUGCGUGUGGCCUUGCUCUUGGCCCUACCAGAUAUGCGUAAGCCAACAUGGUUUCCCCAAGGUAGGUCCCAUAUGUGUAUCAUCAGUGUAUGGGAAGAAUCCCCCAUUUCCUCCCCUUUGUUGGUCCUCGUAUAAUACGGGGAAGGAUUCAGGUCCAUACGCAUAUGGACAUAAGCAUGUUCUUUUUCUCCUCUCUGCUGGUCUAUGUGUGCUACGCGUAAGGGUCUAUGGCCAUACGCGUAUGGGUAGAGCCAUAAUCUUUUUUUCUUUUUCUUCUUCUUCCUUGAUCUGGCCCGAUCUUUUCUCUGAUGCUAACUUCCCUUUUCCUUUUAUCCUGCAUCCAACAUGUCACACAUACCAAAAAGACGUAAAAAUAGCCAAAAGAAACUCAAACUAUAAAAAUAAUGUCUUGGCACAAUCUAACUCGAAAGAUCAAACAUUAAGACCAAAAGUAUACAGUUCACCUGGAUUUUUGAUGGAUAAACGAUGAAAGCUAUAACACAAAUGAUGAUUGAUCAAUCAGAUACAAUUUUUACACCGUCGUGCUAAAACCGAUAUCUGAGUACUUUCGCUGUCACGCAAAUAUUUUUGAAUUUUUUGAAGCAAAAUUUAUGGUGAACGCCAUGAGUACAAAAUUUGAAGAACGUGGUGUUAGAACAAGAUUUGGUUCAGCAUCUAUACCUUGAGCUUUGAUAUUAACAAUGUUGUAUUUGUGUGAGAACAAUUUUGGUACCCUAAUGGUUUGUUAUCGUGUAACUUUAACAGUCAAUUCUGAUUUUGAGUAUAUGACGUGUAACGUCAUUAGUUUUUGAACAUAGUGUUAGAAAUUCUGCUUCUGCAUUAAUCAUGAAAAGUUCCAAAAGAUGUCAAGUUGAUGCUGCAAUGUUCUUUUUGCUUCUAUGCUGAUUCACUCCUGAGGAGUUUCUGGAAAUAUGCUAUGUUGCUGCUACAAUGUUCUCUCUGUUUCUGCUUCUGGAUGUGACUCUGGUCAUCCAACUUAUGAAGAAUCGCAAGCUUAUAAAGUUUUGUUACUUAGCUGAAGAUUCUGAAGAUCUCAACCCAUACGUUGAGGUUAUCAAGGUUCUGACUGAAGAGUCUGAAUAUUAUGAAGAUCUCAGGCUAGAUUACUAAUGUUGUCAAGGUUCUGAUAUAAGAUUAUGAAGUUUCUGAAUCCAGCUAUAUGUUUCUUUGUUUCUUGCUUAAUCAACUAUUCAUCAGAAGCCAAUGAAUUUUAAGAUAAGAUCAAAAUAGAUUUUGGAGACUUGAAGAAAAGACUACUACAACAAGUUCGUAAGACUGUUUUUAACGUGAAAAAGAUCUAAACUUAGUUCAUACUUUUCUUUAAGUAUUUGUUUUUCAUUUGUGUAAAAUAUGCUUGUGCAGAAGCAACUUAUAAACACAAAACUUUAUUCAAACAUGUCGUUUGUAAUUCCUUAAGGAGACUAGGGUAUAGUCGGAUCCUUGAGUAGAAAAAGAAGGUUAUUCUUUGUGAUUAUUAUAAUCAUUUAGUUAUAGUGGAUUAAGUCCUUAUGUAUAAUACAAAAUCACCUUGGCGGAUGGAAUGGAGUAGCUUUGAGUUUCAAGUGAACCAAGAUAAAAAUGCUUUCGUUUUUAUCUCUUUGUUUUUAGUAUUUGUGUGGUGUUCUUCAGUUGGAAAAAAACUAUUGUUUUUAAAACCCAGUUCAAACUCCCCAUUUCUUGUGUUUUUCACACCUUCAAUUGGCAUUAGAUCUCAGAUUCUGAUAGUUAUAAAGUUUUUAUGAACACUUCACCGUGUUUAGUACUGAUCCAAUGUGUGUGAGAAAUAAUGGCCGCUGCUAACAACAACAUUGUCGCUACUAACUACAAUGAGAUGGGUCACUACAGUGCUAAACCACCAAUAUUUGAUGGUGAGAUGUUUGAUUACUGGAAAGAUAGAAUCGAAAGUUUCUUCUUUGGAUAUGAUAUUGAUCUCUGGGAUCUUGUAGUCAAUGGCCAUGUUCACCUAGUUAAUGUUGAAGGAAAUAAUAUAGCAAGAAAUGCUAUGACUGAUCAACAAAAGAAGGAUUUCAAAAAUCAUCAUAAGGCUAGAACGAUAUUUCUUCAUGAUAUCUCUUAUACUGAGUAUGAGAGGAUAACUAACAGAGACUCUUCUAAGUCUAUUUUUGAUUCCUUUAGAAUGACUCAUGAAGGGAAUGCUCAAGUAAAUGAGACAAAGGCUUUGGCCUCAAUCCAUAAGUACGAAGCAUUUAGAAUGGAAGAUGAUGAAACCGUUGAGACUAUGUUCUCAAGAUUUCAGAUGCUUGUUGCAGGCCUGGAAGUUUUGGACAAAGGAUACUCUAUGGUUGACCAUGUCAAGAAGAUAAUCAGAAAUCUCCCUAAAAAACGGAGACUAUGGUAACUACUUUGAAGUUGGAAAAUGAUCUUAACAAUAUUAGUCUUGAAGAACUUGUUAGUUCUUUGAGAAGCCAUGAGAUAUAACUCGAGGAAGAUGAACCUUAGAAGAGAGGUAAAUCUGUUGCUUUAAAGUCUAAGCCUGAGAAGAUAAGAGCUUAUAAAGAUGAGUAAGAAUAAAAAGUUUCUAAUGAAGAUUCAGAAGAUGAUGAUGAGUUGUCUUUGAUUUCCAAGAGGGUCAACAGACUCUGGAGGCAUAAGAAGAAUGGUCAAGGAAAGUUCAGAGGAGCUAGGAGGACUGUUGGUCAUUCUAAUUCUUCGUCUGGACAAAAGAAGCAAGGUUCUGGUAAAGAGGUUAUCUACUUUGAGUGCAAGGAACCAAGACACUACAAGAAUGAGUGUCCUAAGCCGAAAAAGGACAUAAGGCAUAAGAAUAAGUUUUCUAAAGGCAAGAAGGUGUCGAUGGCUACAUGGGAUGACCCAAAAUCUGAAGAAGAAGAUUCUGAUGAAGAACAUGCCAAUGUUGCAUUGAUGGCAACUAUAGCUGAUCCACAAGGUUCUGAAGAACCAGAGGACAAGAUGUUGUUAGAAUCAGAAUCAGACUCCAAUUCUGAAGCGAUAUUUUAUGAACUAUCUUGUUCUGAUUAAGAGUCAUAUCUCUAUGAAAUACUGAACGAGUACUAGAGUCUUUAAACUAAGUACAAUGACCUUAAACAAGUCCAAGUAGUUGCUUUUGAAACUCGUAGUGAGCUUGAGAAAGAUAUUUCUUCCCUAAAUGAAAAAAUAUUUUCAAUGCUUUGAAAAGUAAAAUUUCAAAACUAGAGGAAGAAAUAGUCUUAGAAGCUUCUGGUACUGAUUGCAUCAUUAGAUAUGAUAGAGCAUUCUAGUACUUUCUGGCUAAAAGCAUAUAUAAAAGUAAAAUGGCUUCCUUGAUCUAUAGAGUUAGCAAAAAUGGAAAGAAAGGUUUAGGUUAUACAUAAACUAUAAAACCCGACGAAAGUCAGAAGGUUAUAUUGAAACCUCUCUAUGAGCAUAUCGUGUCUGCUGGCACGGAGCUUGAUUUUUCUACAUAUACACAAAGACUUACACAGGAUAAGAACUCAGUUCUGAAACCGAAGUAUCAUGCACAAAUUUCACUUGAUUAUCCUAUUUCACAAAGACCCAAGAGUGUAAGAAACUCUAGGAAAACUAACAAGAGAGGACCCAUAAAGUGGUUACCUUAGGAUAAGAUCAUAUAUGUUGAAGACAUCCUUAGCAGCUCAGUUGAAACACCAGUUAUGGUACCUGGACAAUGGAUGCUUGCGACAUAUGACGGUUAGAAGGUCAAUGUUCCAAGAUUUGGAACUUAAUAUUAGAGGCUUCGUUGGUUUCGGAGGAAACCAGAACGGGAAGAUCAUUAGCUCCGGAACUGUUGGUAACAAUAAACUUCCAUCUAUUACUAAUGUUCUUUUGGUGGGUGGUUUGAUGCAUAACUUAUUGUCUAUUAGUCGACUUAGUGACAAUGGUUAUGACAUCAUUUUUAAUCAAAAGUCAUGUAAGGUUUUUAGUCAAAAAGAUGGUACAAUCCUUUUUAACGGAAAGAGAAAGAAUGACAUUUAUAAAAUCAGACUUUCUGAUCUUAAGGGUCAAAAUGUAAAAUGCCUAAUGUCUGUUAAUAAGGAGCAAUGGGUAUGGCAUAAACGUUCGUGGCAUGUUAGCAUGAUAAGGUUUUCUCAGCUAAAUAAGCUUGGAUUAGUCAGAGGCUUACCCAACCUAAAGUUCGCUUUAGAUGCUCUUUGUGAAGCAUGUCAGAAAGGCAAGUUUUCUAAAACAUCUUUCAAAGUGAAAACUGUUGUUUCUACAUCUAGACCGUUAGAACUUAUGCACAUUGAUUUGUUUGGGCCAGUGAAAACUGCCUAUAUCAGUGGUAAGAAGUAUGGAUUGGUCAUCAUUUAUGACUAUAUUCGUUGGACAUGGGUAAAGUUCUUGAAACACAAUGAUGAGUCACAUUCUAUGUUCUUUACUUUCUGCUCACAGGUGCAAACAGAGAUGGAUUGCAAAAUAGUCAAAGUCAGAAGUGAUCAUGGUGGAGAAUUUGAAAAUAAACAUUUUGAAAGUAUUUUUGAUGCAAAUAGAAUUUCCCAUGAUUUCUCCCGUCCUAGAACUCCAUAGAAAAAUGGGGUUGUAGAAAGGAAGAGUAGGACUUUGCAAGAAAUGACUCGCACCAUGAUCCAAGAGAUUGAUAUGGCUAAGAAUUUCUGGGCAGAAGCAGUUAACGUAACUUGUUAAAUUCAGAACAUGAUUUCUAUUAGACCUAUUCUAGGUAAGACUCCCUAUAAAUUAUGGAAGAACAGAAAGCCCAACAUUUCUUACUUCCAUCCUUUUGGCUAUGAGUGUUUUAUGUUGAACACUAAAGAGAAUCUUGGCAAGUCUGAUUCUAAGGCACAAAAGUGCUUAUUGUUAGGAUAUUAUGAACGCUCAAAAGGCUACAAAGUCUUUAAUAGUGAGACACAAGUUAUCGAAGAAUCAAUUCAUGUAAGAUUCAAUGAUAAGCUUAACCCUGAAAAGUCAAAGCUAGUAGAGAAAUUUGUAGAUAUGAAGAUUAAUUUCUCAGAAUCUGAAGAUAAAGACUCAGAAGGUAAAGCCAAGGACGCUGAAGCAAAACACUCGUAAGUGACUCAACCAGAAGCCAUUGUUGGUCCAAAUAAGAAGAAGAGUUGAUCAAGAACUUCUCAUUCUGAAGAAUUGAUUCUAGGAGAUAAAGACGCACCAGUCAAAACUCGAUCUUCAUUCAAACCUUUUGAAGAAACUGUUCUGGGUUUGGUAUCUCUAAUAAAGCUCAUAUCUAUUGAUGAAGCUCUUCUGGAUAAUGAUUGGAUUUUGGCUAUGCAAGAAGAACUAAAUCAAUUCACCAGGAAUGACAUCUGGGAUCUUAUUCAGAAACCAAAGGGUUUCCAUGUCAAUGGAACCAUAUGGGUUUUUAGAAACAAGCUCAAUGAGAAGGGCGAAGUCAUCAGAAUCAAGGUUCGACUAGUAGCAAAAGGUUAUAGUCAACAAGAAGGUAUAUACUAUAUAUAAACCUUUGCUCUAUUUUCCAGGCUAGAGUUUAUUCAUUUUUUAAUUUCAUUUGUAGUCAAUCAUAUCGUCAUUCUUUAUCAGAUGGAUGUUAAGAGUGCAUUCUUAAAUGGGUACAUUUCUGAAGAAGUGUAUGGGCACUAACCCUUGGUUUUGAAAGUUUCCAAAACCAUGAUUUUAUUUUCAAACUCAAAAAGUCGUUAUAUGGUAUGAAACAAGCUCCCAGAGCUUGGUAUGAUAGACUAAUCAACUUCCUUUUGGAAAAUGAUUUUACUAGAGGUAAAGUGGACACUAAUCUCUUUUGAAAAACCAUUAAGAAUGAUAUCCUGGUUGUCAUACCCCAAUUUUGUUCGGGCAUUUUUAAAUUUUUGUAAAUUUCGAUUUCACUUUUUUUUUUAUAUCAUAUGCACAACAUGACAUGCAUUUCAUCAUGAAUAAUAUCUAAAAUAUCAGUCAGAAUAUAAUAUUGAAAAUACAAACAAAUUGGUUAAAUCGUUUCUCAAGUACGUGCAAAAUCAGCGGGUAAAAAGUUUCAAAAUUAAAAUUACAGACGUCAGUAUCAUUAACCUACUGUUCACGUAGUUUAUUGGUGUGCUCCUUGUAUUUUUCAGGGACUGUUUCGGCUGCGUUUUGACCCGCCUGAGCCUUUUAAUCGGUGACAAUUUAUUUUAGAAUUUGAAGAAACGCUGUAUUUUUUCAAUAAGUGUAUUUUGUGGUGAUCAUUUUGGUGCACCCGAUUUAAUUUUUCGAGCAAAUUUUUACCCGACUUUUUUUGCAUAAUCAGUCAUUUUAUUUUUAUCCUUUCGCCAAAACAUUCAGAAAAUUGAGAUUUCCAUGUCUUCAUUUUAUUUUUACCAUAUUCAUUUUAGAAGUUGUGGAUUUAAAUUUGAUUUCAUUUAUCUAAAUUGUUUUAAGUCAAUUGAACCAUCUAGAAGGGGCACCUUUGAUAUUUUUAGAAUUAGUUAGCAUUUGUGUUUCUUUGGUUUAAUCUCGAUCGUUAAAUCGAGAUUAAUCAAAGGUCUAUAAUAGUUAUCCAUGUGUGUUUCUAUUUACCAAUAAUAAAAUCAAAUAAUAAUAAUAUUAAUAAUAAAGAGAAAAAAUCAAUUUAUGGUUGUGCAAAUAAGGAUAGGUGGCGUUGGAUUAUUGACUCCUUUUUCUUAAAUUUAGAAAAAAGAAAAAUGCUAAAAAUACUACCCUUUAGGAUUUUUUUCGGUGGCCUCUCGGAUCACUCUCAAACAAAAUUCAUAACAACUCAUUAUUGGCCAGGAGAAAAUGAGCUAUCUCCACUCACAGCUGGAAACAGAAUCCACUCUCUUUCUCUCUCUCAAAAAACAACUCUGAAAAGAAAGAAAAAAAAAGAAUAGAUAUAUCUCAACGAGUACACAAAAGGACAAAAAAAUCUCAUUCUGAAAAAAGACGUUACAUCCAUUUAAAUUUCUCUCUCUCACCACUCAUAAAAGAGCUACCCACUCACCUAACUUUCAGAAUCUCUCUCACGGGUUCCUCACAUUACAAAAAGAUAAAAGGAAAAAGGAAAUUAAAAAAGGACUGACAAAAAACUCUCUCACCUGAUACCAUUCCUUCUCUCUCGUAAUAACCCUCUCUCUCUGACUUCAAAAAGGCAACGAAAAAAAGAAAAAAAAUAAAUUGAGAGGACUCUUCCUCUUAUUCGGAAUCUUAUCACUCUUCACCAUCGGACCGCCUUCAACAACCUCUGUCGUCGAAAACCUCACUGCCAUAAUCGUGCCACCCUUCACCCUCCUUCAAACUCUCCGUCGGCGAAAAACAGAAACACCGCGAGCCCCUUUUUCAACAUCGUCCAAACCCUUCGUCUUCGUUACAACCAUACACCGCCGUCUCCACCAUCCAAAUCCCAUCUCCGUCUUCACUCAACUCACAACCGCAACCAACAAACAACACCAUGAAACCGUUUUUGCGAAACGAAACUCAACGAAUCUCCUUCCUCACGAAAUCACCGUCGCCACCACCGACAUCUCACGGCUAUUCACAAUAAACCCUCACGACCGCCUCCGCUCCUCUCCCACACUUCCUUCGUGGCCACCGCGAAAGCCACCACGCGUCUUCUCCUUCACAUUCACGGAUGUCUUCUCCUUCCGAUGCCAGAUUCAAACGCAACACAAACAAACAACCAGCCGCUCUACAGCAAUAAGAGGAGCAUAGCACCAAAGGAAAUAACGCAGAAGGAUGGGUCUAGCCGCACUCCGUUUCCGUUAUAAUUUCAAGUUCAUUUCCGACGAACUCACAGUACUUCCAAUCACCCCAAGGUCGUCGAACCCGUAGGUAUAUCACUAUAAAUCUCAUGUUGAUUGGUUUAUUAUUUUUUUUGUUUUUUCCAAUUGGAGUAAGGUAGAGAUUAAAUCGAGGAUGCAAGGGUUUGUUUCAUCGGUCUUAAAGAUGAAAAAUAAUGUUCUGCAUUUUUAAAGAGCGAAAGAAAGCAUAGUGGAAAUUUCAAACUUAUUAUGAGCCUUGAUUUUCCUAAUGGUAAUGUAAAAGUUAAACUGGAUUUUUACGUUUUGUUACUUGUUUGUUUGACUGAACUUUUUUUUUAUAAUUAUUAUUACAUGACAAUAGAAUUAGUAUUUUGGUUGUAGAAAGAGUUGUCUGCAUAUAAUUCAUUAUGGUCUUGGUUUUCUUUUUAUCCAGGAAAGUUUUAGAUUCGAUCGAUAAUGCUUAAUAGUAUACAUUGAAUUCUUUCUUAAAUCACGUUUGGAAGGGUCCUGCAACUCUUUUUAUUUUUUUCAAACUUGGACAUCAUUGGUUUUAAAUGCUACUUUGUUUUAAUUAAUUGUAUUAGUAUCCCUUGUUCUAACUGAUUUAUUAGUUCACAACGUUACAACCAUUUUUCUCAAAUAUAUGGUUGGUUCUACUAUUAAAAUUUAAAUUAGAUUACUAAUUGCCUAAUGGAUUUUAUAUUGUAUAUAUAUAAAUCUGAUCCAAUCAUAUGGUGUUGUUGUUAACAUUCAGUUAAUAUGUUGUGUAUAACCUUGGCUGGUUUCUAUGUGGUUUCAAUUCCAUUAUGAUGAAGUUGGAAUUUCGACUUGCAAGUACGAGAUUUUUGAUGUUUUGAGCACAUUGUAUCCACCUUGUUUUAGUCACUUUUAAAUCAAAUUUGUUUUAAUUGAAUUGAUUGAUUAAUACAAAUUUUGUUUAAAUUACUUGGUUGUGAUGAUCGAUUACCUUGGAAAUUUUAGUUAAUCAAAUGAUUUUGAUUUUGAAUUUUGAUUGGGUCAAUUAGGUAGUUUGUUUAAAUUCCAAUCAAAUAACUUUAUUAAUUAAAUAUUGACCAAAUUAUUUUAUCACGAUGUCAACCUCUUCCAAACUCGAAUUGAUUUCAAUCUUAUCAAUUCGAAAUCAUUCACCCAUUCAAUAAAAACAUAAUUCUCGAUUCAAAGUCGAGCCCAUUUUUAAAUACCCUUGUAAGUCGAUAGCUUUUCGCAUCGCCAUCAACCUCACAUAGCUUUCUCUUGGGCUUUCUUAUUAUGAGACCUAGUCGAUUGUUAAUUGAUCGAUUAGAUGAUUGAUUCACUAAAUAAAAUCCACUUUAUUCACAAAACACAAACUUAAAACCUCGAUCCACCAUCAAGUAUUUCUAUUCAAAUUAUUAAGAUGCCCAAUCACAAUCAAAUACCAUUUCAUUUGGAAAUGAAAAGGGGGAUGGCUUUGAGUUUUCAAUUCCUUUCCUCGAUUAUUUGAAUAUGAGUUCUCUUAUUCGGUGAGUCAAAUAGUCGUCACUUCCAUCCACCUAAGCACAAACGAAUCGAAUCAUUUUUAUAAUAAGAAACAAAAAGGGAGAUGACUUUGAGUUUUCAAUUUUUUUCUCCUCGAUUAUUUGAAUACAAGUUCUCUUACUUGGUUAGUCAAAUAAUUAUCGUUCCUCUGCAAGCUUCCAAACCCCGAUUAAAUCAAAUUAUUUUCAUAAUAAGUUAAAUGAAAAGGGAGUUGACUUUAAGUUUUCAACUUCUCCUCAAUUGUUUGAAUACGAGUUCUCUUACUUGGUCAAUCGAACAAUUUUCAUUUUUCCACCAACAUAUAAGUUAAUCAAAUCAUUUCAUAAUAAACUAUACAAAAAUGGAGAUGGUCUUGAGUCUUUAAUUCCUCUUCUCAAAUGCUUGGAUAUGAGUUGUCUUACUCACCCAUUCAAGUACUUUGUCGUCUAUUCCAAAAUACAUCAACCAUACGCAAACCUAUUUUCAUAAUCACUCAGAUGAAAAAGAAAAUGGUCUAGAUUCUUCUAUUCCCUUUCUCGACUAUUAGGAUGCGAGUUGUCUUACUCGACUAUCCGAGUAUUCGUCAUCCAAUCAAAAACACCUUAAUCAUCAUUAAAAUCCUUUCACAAUUAAGGAUGAAAAAGAAAGCGGUCUAGAGUCUUCUAUUCCCUUUCCCGAUUAUUAGGAUACGAGUUGUCUUACUCGGCCAUCCGAGUAAUCAUCAUCCAACCAAAAAUAUCUUAACACAUCAAACUUAUCUUUCUCACCCUCGUGCGAUCGAAACCAGUCAAACAAAACAUUAAACACAUCAAUUCAACUCGUCACCCCCCGCGUGACCAAAACCCUUCUUUCAAAAAGAACACUGUCAAUCCUUUCUAAUGCGCACAACAAAUUAGUGCUAGAGCCUCCACCGAGAGUAGACAAGUCAAUGUUUAGCCUUUAGAACGCCGACCUACACAUUCGUUCAUAAAACAAAACACAUCAAUUAUUUGUAGUUCCCCGAACUACAAAUGCUCUGAUUUCCUUAUUACACCAUAAGGAUACGUAGGCGGGAGAUUGCUAUAUCUUCGCGAGCACACUAAUAAAAAACCUCCCUUUUCUCCCUUUUGAGGUCUUCAUCCAUAUAUAUUAUCAACUCUAAUUACUCGAAGAAAACAAACAACGCAAGUUAACACUCAAAUCUCAAAAUUGAACUAAAAGGUUCCCGUUGAGAACAAUGGACGUGAGGGGUGCUGAUACCUUCCCCUUGCGUAAUCCACUCCCGAACCCGAAUAUGGUUGCGACGACCAUUAUUCUAUUUUUCAAAGGUUUUAUCAAUAUUUUCCUAUUCCUUCAUUGGGAUAAAUAAAGUUCGGUGGUGACUCUGUUCGAACUAACAUUUUUCCACGUCCAUCGCGAGGGAUCACAUUUUUUCCGAGGUGCGAAAGCUGGCGACUCUGCUGGGGACAUGCUCCAAGCAAGAGAGAGUGAAGCCUAACUUUGUUUAAUUUUUGUAUUGGGUGUUAACCUUGUUUGUUUGAUUUUUUAUUCUGUUAUUAUUUUGUUGUAAUUAUUAUGUUGUGGUUUAUUUCCUAUGAUACUAUUGGGGUUCUCUGAUUGUUGGUACUUUGUGAGAUAGGCUUUCUACCCGAGUCUGAGAAAAACCAUAAGAUUAAGUUGGUGGUUGCGUAGUGGACGCCCACAAGGAGUCUUCCUUGUUGGGAAGAUACGAAGACCCCGCCUAGAGGAGAUUCUCUUGAGAUAUUAUUGUCCGACAAGCCUUCGUCACGGCGAUGGUGUUUCAAGUUGGAUCAAUGACUCUAGGGACCUUUUAACCCUAUAUCCGGAGGUUAUGUAGUAUUAACCUACGAAGUUUCAUACUUGUUAGGUUAAUACGAAAACCCCAAUCAGAUGAGAUCCCUUGGACGUAUUAUUACCUUACAGUAAUAUUUCCAACCUCGAUCUAUGACUCUAAGAACCUUGUUAGAACCUUGAACUCGAGAGUUGCGUAGUAUAAUCCCUAUGGAGCCUUCCUUGUUGGGACAAUACGAAGACCUCUCCUAAGAUGAGAUUAUCUUAGGGGUAUUACUGUCCGACGAGUCUUCGUCACGGCAGUGACGCUUUCAAUGAGAAUCGAUGACUCUGGGAACCAAUUAACUUUGGAGCCUACCCUUGGGAAUUUCAGUAAUCAGAGAAACCUCUACUUCUUCCUUUUAACUUGACGUACACGACGUGUGAAUGAUCUUGAGUAUUUCUAUUCCUUUGCGAAAACAUGGCAAAAUUUCAUGCAUUUGCAUAUCAUAAACAUGCAUUGCAUACCAUCUUCCAGAAACAAAAACUUACACCAUAUUCUACCCUUUGUCCAGUAACACUGACUACUCAACACCGGUACGAGACACGCCGCAACUACAGGAUGACACUCGAACAACUUGAAGCAAACCAGGUUUUAAUGAGGACAAACAUCGACUCCAUGCAAGCGAAGAUGGACCAUUUGCUUGAAACAAUGUUGCUCUUAGCCCAGAAGGAGAAGGAUGCUGAGACUAGCGCCGAUGCCAGAAAAGUUGCUACUCAGUUUGGAUCACCAUCACUUAGCAUCCAUGGAGUGAUUGACCAUGAUGGUAACCUUAAUCAUCUUAAAGGAGGACCGACCCCUAUUCCAUUCCCGAUGGUCAAUGUAAACCCCCAUGAGCAUUCUGCUACAUCUGCUCGACAUGGAUCCAUGAUGGGUGAUGAAGAUCCGUAUGACGCUUUCUUCAUGCCACAACCCGCCAAACCUGUUAUUGGAGGUCUCUUAGACCCAACUGUUGAGAGACUCCAUGCUUUAGAAGAGAAGUUCAAGUCCUUUGAGGUUCACACUACUCUCGGUUUGGACGUCGUUGAUAUGUGCCUAGUGCCAUGACUCGUGAUUCCACAAAAAUUCAAAGUCCCAUACUUUGACAUGUACAAAGGGAUCAGCUGCCCUAGAACUCACCUCAGAGCUUAUUGCCGCAAGAUGGCUGCCCACAUCGGUAAUGAUCAACUCUUGAUUCAUUACUUCCAAGAUAGCCUCAAUGGGGCAUCCUUGGAGUGGUAUAUGCAAUUAGAAAGAGGACAAGUCCAGUCAUGGAGAGACCUUGUUGAAGCCUUCCUUAGGCAUUAUCAAUACAAUAUUGAUCUAGCACCCAAUCGCACCCAGCUGCAAGACAUGACUCAACGCAACAAUGAGUCAUUCAAGGAAUACGCACAACGGUGGAGAGAGCUAGCAGCCCGUGUCCAACCUCCUCUCCUUGAUAAGGAGCUAAUUGAUAUGUUUAUGGGAACUCUUCAUACUCAAUACAUGGAGAAAAUGGUAGGAUCCAGCUUCCCAACUUUUGCUGAGGUUGUCUCCGUGGGAGAACUAAUCGAGAGCCAGAUCAAGAAGGGAAAGCUACCUUGCGCUGCCAAUGCUUCAAGUGGGAUGAAGAAACCUUAUCCUAAUCUCCCAAAGAAGCUAGAAGGCCAGACCAACGCCAUAAUGAGAGGAGGAGGAUAUAUGACGCCUCCGUAUGUUCCUAUGCCUUAUCAUCAGGUUGUCGUUGUCAUCCCGACACCGUAUCAGCCACCAUAUCAGCAACCAUAUCAGCAACAACAUCAGUUGCCGUACCAACAUCCGGCUUACCAACAGCCACACCAGAAUCAACAGCAACGUGCUCCACCGUAGCGUCAACCUAGUCAACAGAGGGCAAGGAGGCCAAAAAGACAUUUCGAUCCUUUGCCAUUGCCUUACAGCAAGAUCCUUCCCUACCUGCUAAAAGAUGGAUCAGUUGUUUUGAAGGAGCUAACACCUGCAACUCCGCCCUACCCACCAGGCUAUGACACCAAUGCUCACUACGAGUAUCAUAUGGGUGCCCCAGGGUACACCGUAGAAAAUUGCAAGGCCUUCAAACACAAGGUCCAAGAUCUGAUUGACAGUCAGGCAGUUACUUUCACGCCAGUUAGGCCAAAUGUUGCAACAAAUCCCAUGCCAGCGCAUGCAGAGCAUAGUGAAGCUCGAAGAUAGAGCUCCCCACCGGCCUGAACAAGCGGAGCACUUCCUAAACGAAGAAUCAAGAGAUGAAGGCCCGUUUCUUUGAAUGAAGGCAAUCAUUAUGCCAUUUUUACCGUUUCGCAUUCUUGUAAUUUGUUCUUGUUUGUCUAAGUAUUGUAUGGCUUUAAACAUUGUUAUUUGUAUUUGGUUCUAUUAAUGGGAUGAUUAUGCAUGUUUUGAAUCAAUCUUUCAUAUUCACUCAUACCAUUUAUUUGCAAAGCACAAAGCACAAACACAUACUUUUCCACUUCACCUUCUUUAUCACACUAUUGUUAGCAAAUGUUGGAAGGAGGAUGACGAAAACAAAAUACUCAUAAUUGGUGAUUGUAUGCUUUUGGAUAAAAUCCUGCUAAUGAUGUACAAGCAUUGUUUCAAAUCUCCAAACACUGGAGAGAUAAGGAGUUAAUCCCUAGUUAACCAUUUCGGGCCUAGAAGUAGGAGUUUCUUUCAGAUCUACAAACCCUUACGCUUAACCUGGGGCAGGGUAGUGUUCAGUUGAUCUGACUACACAUUCGAAUUACAAGAUGAAAUUUCCCAUACAAGGAUCAAUCACAUGAUAUUCUUCGCACACAUCCUGAAGUGUCGAAGGAACCAUACAAAAUCCAAAAUUUAUGUCCGUUAUUCUUUAAUGACUAAUGACUUGGCAGUCACAAUUUUCCAAAAAAAA
rnacentral:lncRNA from 1 species